UCUCAUUUAGUUUAUUCAAUUGCAUGGUGCCAUGCAACCCAAAUGGACCAUGCCGGGUCCGGUCAAGUAUUUACCAGAAAUAGUUAUGGACUUAGACACCUUAUCCAACAGUCUCCCACUUGGAUAAGUCUAAUAACUAUAACUGCAAUACUUCAGGAACCGAUCGGCAAUCGUAGCUCUUUCAAGGUCUCUCGGAACUGAGAAGAUGUUGAUACGCCAUUUAAGAUAAGUGAUCAUAUAAUCCUCUGUUCUAGAUAUCAGCCGGACAAUUACAUGGAACAAUGUCUUACUUAUUGUCCAGCAGUUUGUUUCCCGAUUUCCGAUUUGUUUGACAAAGAACUUAAUUGAACACAUCAACUUAGUUCUGACCGGGCCCGGUACAUAGGUCAAAACAAAAUCAUCGAGGGGCCCAGAUAUCAGCUUCUAAUCCAAGAAGGAACAAAUAAACUUCGACUCAUAUGUUUGUUCUACUACUAGUUGAAUUAUACACAAAAGCACGUUUUAUAACAUCGAGUUACCAAUGCGUUUUCGUACAAUCAAUGCAUAAUCAAUUCAUAGGCAACAAAUCAUAUCUCUAGGUUUGAAGACUUAUAUGAUAUUACCGUCUCACGAUCACUCGAGAUAAAAUUCCAUGAAGUGAUUCCAGUGAGUGUGGGUUGAUUCCAAUAUGCAGAACUUAUGAGCACUCAUGAAGUGUUGUCUUAUAUCCUAACACCUACAACCAACUUCAUGACAGUCUUACUUCAUAUCUACUUCCAACAUAUGACUGACUGUGGAAAGUUUGAAUAAUAUGUGAAACCACAACAUACUAUUCUGGAAGUCAAAACAUGCAAAAGAAAUUAUAGUAAACGAUUGACAACAGAUAGUAACACUUUACUCAUAAAUAAACACAACUUUUAUUCAUCAUCAAAUGUCAAUUACGCUUUACAAAUUUCAUAAUUUAUCUAACUACUAAAACUUAUAUCAUCCUUCAGCCCUAUGCUUCGAGCAUGCUGGAGAUGCUUAACCCUACUCAGUCCCUUCGUGAGGGGAUCUGCUGGGUUCUCAUCCGAUGAUACCCUCUUUUCCACGAGGAUUCCUUUUCCUAUGCGAUGUCUGAUAAAAUGAUAUUUUAUGUCGAUGUGUCUGGAUCUCCCGUGAUCUGUUGGUUCCUUGGCUAAGGCAACAACAUUUUCACUAUCACAUAAAAUUUCCAUGGGAUCCUUUAUAGCUGGUACAAUUCCAAGGUCUCCAAUGAAGUUCUUUAGCCAUAUUGCCUCCUUUGCUGCCUCGCUCGCUGCUAUAUACUCUUAUUCACAAGUGGAAUCAGCCACUGCUACUUGGAACUCUUCCAAGUGAUUGCUCCUCCGUUUAAGGUAAAGACCCAGCCCGACUGAGAGCAGAAAUUAUCCCUAUCAGUAUGGAAGCUAGCAUCACUAUACCUUACAACUCUCAAGUCAUCACUCCCGCCGAGGGUAAGGACCCAGUCCUUAGUCCUCCGUAGGUACUUGAGGAUAUUCUUUACCGCAGUCUAGUGUGCCUUGCUAGGAUUCCCCUGAUACCUGCUAACCAUGCUCAAGGCAAAGGCUACAUCAGGUCGAGUACACGUCGUAGCAUACAUGAUCGAGCCUACUGUGAAGCAUAAGGUACUUGACUCAUUUAUGCUAUCUCAGCCUCGGUACUUGGGCUUUGUGUCUUAAUCAAUCUGGCGUUACUCUGGAUGGGUAACUCUCUUUUCUUGGAGUUCUGCAUGCUGAAUCUCUUCAACACCUUGUCCAAGUAAGUACUUUGACUAAGUCCAAUUAGUCUUUUGCUCUAGUUUCUCAAAAUCCUUAUCCCUAGAAUAUAGGCAGCUUCUCCUAGGUCCUUCAUAGAGAAACACUUCCCAAUCCAGGACUUAACUUCUUGCAGAGUUGGGAUGUCAUUUCCUAUGAGUUGUAUGUCAUCCACAUACAACACCAGAAAGCUAACAAUACUCCUACUAGCCUUGACAUACAUACAAGAUUCAUCUUCACUCCUAGAAAAGCCAAAUUCCUUGACUUUCUACUAUAAUCAUCAGUAAAAGUCAAAUAAUAACGAUUAAGUAGACAUAUCCAUAUCUACUAUAAUCAUCAGUAAAAGUCAAAUAAUAACGAUUAGCAUCCCUUGUGGCAUGUUUGAAUGGUCCACCCACAUCCGUGUGCACAAGAUCCAACAAACCUUCACCACUCUCACAAGAACCUGUGAAGGGUAACUUUGUCAUUUUUCCAAGUAAGCAUGUUUCACAACUAUCAUCAGACUUUAGGUCAAAUGACUCCAAGACUCCAUCCUUUUGGAGUUGGCCUAUGCGUUUCUUGCUUAUAUGUCCAAGACGACAAUGCCAUAGUGAUGCUUUAUCCAAGUUAUUAUUAUUAACAAAAUCAACACACAACAUUAUUUCCUAAGUUAUCAACCACAAAUACAGUUUCAUACACGCCAUCACAAGGUACUGCUUUAAAAUAAAGAACAUUAUUAAAGAAAGCAUUAAUCGAACCAACUUCAUUAUCAAAUGAAAAGGUGAAACCUUGUUUAUACAAUGCAUGAAAGGAAAUAAUAUUUCUUGCCAUUUAUGGCGAAUAACAACAUUUAUUCAAAUCUAAACUAAACCCACUACCUAGCGAUAAAGUAUAAACUCCAAUCUUGGUGAUAGGUGAAGCUUUCCUGUUUCCCAUUAUCAAGUUUAUUGUUCCUUGCUCCACAUUCUCACUUUUUCUUAGUCCCUACAAAUCAGAACAGAUAUGAAUACCACAACCGGUAUCAAGGACCCAAGAGUUAGAAUGGGGUGAGUUAUUAGAUAAGAUAGUGUAAAUACCUGCAUGGUUGGGUUUAACUUUCCUAUCCUUCACAUCUUGCUGGUACUUUGGGCAAUUCCGCUUCCAAUUGUUGGAUAAGGUGUCUAAGUCCAUAACUAUUUCUGGUAAAUACUUGACCCAAGUCGGCAUGGUCCAUUUGGGUUGCAUGGCACCAUGCAAUUGGAUAAACUAAAUGAGAGAAAUAACACAUAUGGUUUAUUAAUAUAUUAUAAGUUCUAAUAUAUUAAUAAUAUUAUUUAAUUAGUUUUGAUCAAGAAUUAAUUUAGAAUUAAUUAAGUGAUCAAAAGAAUAACUAAUUAAAUAUAUGGGUAGAUUAUNNNNNNNNNNNNNNNNNNNNNNNNNNNNNNNNNNNNNNNNNNNNNNNNNNNNNNNNNNNNNNNNNNNNNNNNNNNNNNNNNNNNNNNNNNNNNNNNNNNNNNNNNNNNNNNNNNNNNNNNNNNNNNNNNNNNNNNNNNNNNNNNNNNNNNNNNNNNNNNNNNNNNNNNNNNNNNNNNNNNNNNNNNNCCCACUAUAUAAGAUAUGGAAGAUUUACAUAAUCUACCCAUAUAUUUAAUUAGUUAUCUUUUGAUCACUUAAUUAAUUCUAAAUUAAUUCUUGAUCAAAACUAAUUAAAUAAUAUUAUUAAUAUAUUAGAACUUAUAAUAUAUUAAUAAACCAUAUGUGUUAUUUCUCUCAUUUAGUUUAUUCAAUUGCAUGGUGCCAUGCAACCCAAAUGGACCAUGCCGGGUCGGGUCAAGUAUUUACCAGAAAUAGUUAUGGAGUUAGACACCUUAUCCAACAGUUAUAACACUUGAUCUAGUUGUUAUACAUGAUUUCAUCCAUGAAAUCUUCUCUUUUAUUAGAUCUUCAAGUGUUCUUCAAAACACCAAGAACACAAACUAGUGUUCUUGGACCUUAAACACUCUUACAAGCUUCCUAUAAGUAAGUACACUCCUCUUAACUAGUUAUAUACAUAGAUUACUUGUUAAACCAUUGAAAAACACCAAGAAUGCCCAAGAACACAUGGGUUUACGGCCAAGGCAAUCUCCUUGGGCCGUAAACACCAUAAGGUGGUGCAUAUGUGCCACCACUACUUCCUAAUGCUUGGUUAUUGGAUUAGAACCCUUCCUACAUGAACUAAGGACAUUAAACAACAAAAUGGUAGGAGUUACCAUGGGUUUNAACUGUAUCAUCUAUGCCAUACGUGAUGUAAGCACGAAGCUUAGUGAGUUCCCCCAAACUACCACAUACCAUACAAUACAUAUAUAUAAAGCACAUACUGGGCCUUGCCCACUGCAUCAGACCGAAGUCUAGAACUAGCUGCAUCGGACCGAAGUCCGGAACUGACUGGGACCUUGUCCCCUGCAUCGGACCAGAGUCCGGAACUAACUGCAUCGGACCGAAGUCCGGAACUGACUGCAUCGGACCGAAGUCCGGAACUAACUGCAUCGGACCGAAGUCCGGAAACUGACUGCAUCGGACCGAAGUCCGGAACUGACUGAUCAUGGCAUAGCAUAAAAUAUAACAACUAUUAUAAACACAUAAACUGUAUACUGCAUCGGAACAGAGUCCGGAACACAUAACACAAACAUGCUUGUAUCACAAAGACAUCAAGCACUCUAACUACUGCAUCAGACCAAAGUCCGGAACUACUGAUAAUUAAACGGGCCGACAUUGUGGCCGUAGACCCGUUCCUACCGAAAGGAAACUCACCUCGUGAACUGGCUGCUGAGUGUAUGACUCUGGAAGCUAACUGCUACUGCUCCGGUAUCUCCCCGGCUACAAGUCCAUAAACACACUCAAUCAAAUACUAAACACUGCACUGGGUAAAAUGACUCUUUUACCCUUGGUCAAAGUCAACUCUCGGUCAAAGUCAACUCUCGGUCAAAGUCAACCCACAGUUGACCUGACUCGCCGAGUUGGGCCGCCAACUCGCCGAGUCCCUAUUCUCACUCCUCGACCCUACUCGCUGCUACUCGUCGAGUAUGGCAUCGACUCGACGAGUACUCAUUCGAUCCAAGAACUCAGACAAUCUUCAUCCGACUCGCCGAGUCAUAUGAACAACUCGACGAGUUGUUCUUGAGUCUAAGGAGAUUGCCUUGGACUCGCCGAGUUGUAUGAACAACUCGCCGAGUCCCUCCAUUACUGAGUCCACCCUCAACUCACUGAGUCCACUCCACUACUCACUGGACCCACUCGACACCGCUCAAAAGGAAGAAAUCGGGGACUCGCGACUCGACUCGCCGAGUCGUUCUUCCGACUCGCCGAGUCACCGCCAUGCAACUAUUCUACACUCGAUUCUGCUCGAAUCCAACACAUACAAAUGAUAGAUCUGAGUCCAAUAAGCUGAUUUACCACGUAAAGUUUCCAACUUUACGUGUACAAACACAUGAACAAGGGAAUAAAGGCUAAAAGAUGCUUAAAAGGGGUAGAUCUAGGGUUAAUAUGCAAAAUAGCUCCAUAAAGGGAAUAGAUUUGGGCUCUACAACUCCUAAAUGAACAGAUCUAAGGAUAUCUCGGCAUAAUAGAGCUUCCAUCACAACAUAAGGCUUGAGAAAGGCAUUAACAAGAUCUAGAAAGGGUUUUAAAGCAUAAAAGGGAAGGAAAUCUGAAGAAUACCUCAAAGAGCUCUUGCUUUCCCUUGAAUCUCUGCUCUACAAUCCUACUCCUUGCUCCUUUCUUCUUCUCCUUCUUCAAGCCUUCACAAAUGCACACAAAAUCACUAAGAAUCACUCAAGAACGAAUUAGGGUUUUCUCACAGCUUUUGAGGGUUCAGGAGGCGAGGUUGGGGGCUAUAAGGUGGCUUAAAUAGUGGGCAACCCGGGGAUUUAGGGUUUCUCCCAGACGGACAGACUCGCUGAGUCCAGAAUAUGGACUCGCCGAGUCGCCAACCAACACGUGCUCGAAAUCCCGUCCCUACUCGGCGAGUCAGGCUAUGAACUCGCCGAGUCCCUUUAAGAAAACUUAAAAAAAAUAAAUACCAACGAAUUAUCAUACCGGAGACGGGUCCUUGGUCUAUAGCUUAAGGUGUUGCAUAUAUGCCACCAUUGCUUCCUAGGGCUUGGAUAUUGGACUAGAACCCUUCAUACUUGAGCUAUAGACCUUAAGCUUCGAAAUGGUAGGAGUUACCAUGGGUUUACGGCCGUAAACCCACUAGGGUCGUAAACCCUAGGCCGUAAACUCCAUAGGAGUUGGUCCAUGGGUCGUGAACUCUAAAGCAAUGCCUUACACCCCUUUGAUGCAAGCCUAUGGCCCUCUAACACUUGAACCAAAGUGUUUUCUACGUUUUAGGGUAUUUAUACUUACUUAAUUGUGGUUAUAAUCACUAUUUAGAUACACAUAUAUUUCUUUAUAUAAUAAAUAGGAUCAUUGUGUGUGUUCAAGUCCUCACUUGACACCUAGCACCUUGUCCAACACUUCCAUCCAAACCACUCACUACAGGAGAGUUCAGACCCCUUAAUCAACCUUUUAAAUGAUUUUAAAUGCUUUUAUAAGGGGUAAUACAAGUUAAAUUCCAUAGUUAUUAUAUCAAUCACAUGUGAUUAAUAACUACCAAACAUAUGGAUUUACUAUACUUUCAAACCGUUUUACUAAACAAAUGACUUCAAACUGCUUAUCAAACUCUUUUACAUGUUAAAAUCUUUACUAAACUUACUUUUAUGUAUCAAACCUUUUCUAUUACAGCUUUUAAACUUAUAUAUUGUUAAAACCAUGUCUAUUACAUAUAUAGUUAUAUAAGUAAGGCUUGAAGGUCUUAGGACUGUCAACUCACUUUAUUUCCUGUUCCUUGUUUGGUUGUGGACUUAGAGUACCCUGUUAUUUCUCCGAGUGUGGUUAGAUCCUUAGUUAUAUAUUAGUUAUAUAUGAUAGAUAUAAAGACUUUUAUCUCAGUUCAAUACAUUCAGUCAUGCAAACGAUUCUUCUAGUAACUAUAAUAGGUAUAGUUAGGGAUAUUCUACUCAUUACUUCUAGUUCAAUGAAGCAUACAAAGAGUUAGUUCAUUCACGAGUCAAUAUUACUAUUAUGAGAAACUAUACAACGAUACUAUGAUGAGAAACUAUACAACGAUACUAUUAUGAAAAACUAUACAACGAUAAUAUUAUGAGAAACUAUACAACGAUACUAUGAUGAGAAACAAUACAUUCACUACACUAGUACAUACAUUACAUAUACAAGUAUACUAUAACAUAAAUGUGAACCACUGUUUCAGGGCAUGUCUUCACUUCCAUGGCCCGAUUUUUAACCAGAAUCUCCUGGAGGGAGAGCGUGAGUUUGUGUAUAGAUCUAUACUGGAUUGACUAUCCUACACCUUGCUGCUAGCUACAAUGGGACCUGCAGGUCUUCGGGUGCCAAAUUUCAUUACUUUCGACGUCUUACAUAAUCGUGUUCAUAGUCGAUAGCAUGUUACAAUUAAUCACAUAAUACCUUAAUAUAAAUCCGGUUUAAGGUAGUUAGUACAACAGUAGUUACUAUAAUACAACACUACAAUACUACAUUAAUUUACCCUUCGCAUUUAUUUUGUGAUCACUUCACUUAAACAACACUAUACAAACUAUAUUUUGAUAAUGAUAGUUACACUUGGGAAAAUUAUACACUUUUACAAGAAACGAACAUACAAAACAGUCGUGCCUUGGUAGAAGGCUACUUUUAGUAGAAAAUAUAGGAUUUUCUAGGAGUUACAAACAUUUACAAACAUUCACAUGCUUUUACUAGACACGUUUACAAACUCAUGUUUUAAACACUGUUGCAAACAUUUUGAUACAAACAAUGACACUAAAAUACUUAUGAACUCACUAGCUUUGAUGUUGAUAAACUCUUUCAAAAUAACUUAUAUUCAUAGGUCAUCAGUAGACAGGUACCGAUGCUAGCUUUUGAGAAGAUGGAAUGCAUUCAAGACUCAUCUUGUAUUUUGAUUUACAUUUUUGGUUUCUUAUAAACUAUACAGAACACACUUGUAUUAAAUUAUAUUAUUAAUGCAAUGGAUGAUGUUGUUUGCUUGUUUAUUAUUAUUUUGUGUUGUGAUACUGUACAUGACGUCCUCCACCCGUGAACGUUUCCGCCGUUCCGGUUUUGGGGCGUGACAAAUUGGUAUUAGAGCAUUGUUUGUAGUGAAUUGAGUAUAUCAACCCAUAAAAGAUAUACAAACUAAAAACACAAUGGGAUUAAAAUACUCUGACCAAGAGUUUAUACUUUUAAAUAGUAAAAUAUUUAACUAAGUAUGCAAACCUGCAUUCAUACUAAAAUCAGUGUCACUAAGACAGAACAAAACUAUUACGAUUGUUGAACAACACGAUUAGGUUGUAAAGUCCCUAAUAUGCCUGUGUAUCAAUCAGAUCCGUUUGAUGGUGCGGAAUCCCAAUCAAACGGACGACGUCAGAUCAAAUAGAAGAGAAGGAGUAGAAGAAUAAUAUGAAUCUCUGUAUGAAUUGAUUAGCAUUAAAGUUCCAAAUACAAAAGAUUCACACACAAAAUGCUCUCUAGUUUCUCUCUUCUCUCGUUCAUCAUCUAGUUCCUCACACCCUAACACCUAUAUUUAUACAAGGGGAACAUGGGCUUGGUGUACAUAGGCCGUAAAUGGGUUUACGGUCGUAAACCUGUUUACGGCCGUAAACUCAACCGUAAACACCUUACGGCCGUAGACACCAAGUUGUUUACGGUCGAAGACACAAAAAUACAUUUUUCUAGAAAAGUAAAGUAUAAACCAUAUUUUUGACCCAACAAUCUCCCCCUUGGUUUAUAACUUUCUUUUCUUAAUUGACCUAACAAGCUCCCUCUAAAAAGUAGCUGGCUUUUCUUGUUAAUCUUCAUUGUGAAAUUUGCUUCAGCAUUUAUCUUCAAAUUCUUCACAACUUCAAGAUGAACAUAGGAAUCUUCAAUGAAUGACUUUAUGUUGAGCACUUGAGGUUUUCUUCAGAAUUUGGCAUUGAACGCACAUUGGGUGAGGAGGCUCGACGUACUAAUUCUUGAAAGAUAACACUUUAAGCUUGAGAAUCUUCAGAGAGAACAUCAGAGAGUACAAAUCUCCUGGAUCACUUCAGCAGGUACAACGAUAGCGACAGACUGAUUGAGGAGGCUUCAAUGCAAUCCGUCACAUAAUCUUCAAUUUCUGCUUCACCUUGCUUCUGGGGUUGAAGGAUUCAAUGUUGAAAGAAUAGUCUUCAUUCCUUGCUACUUCGAAUGAGAAUUCUUCGAUGCUGAUGGACGAAGUCUUGGCUCAGAAAUCUUCGACACAAACUCCAUGAGUCUCAUCUACACCUGAAAUCACUUUUCAAGACAAAACAAAACUAAAAGAAAACUUAGCACAUAAACAAAAAUAUUUUUGGAUUUUUUUUUAUUUUUCUGAACAAGAAAUAAAACAGAAAGAAUUGCGAAGAGAAUGGUGCAUAUACUGUGUACCAGGUCGGAUUUUGAGACACGUAUAGGAGACAAUAUAUGGCUAAUAGAUAGAAAGAAUUGCAUAGAGAGAAGAUGCAGAGAAAUAGAAUUGCAUAUGUUACAUUCCAGGUCGGAUAUCUCAAUCACGCAAAGGAGGCAACAUAUGACUAACAGACAGACAGAAAGAAAAUAACUUUCUACAGACCUAAUUUAUCGGAAUUCCCCAGUCAUCCUAUCAAAACCGGAAUUAAGGAUAGAAUCCGCACAUCGAGGAAAAGUGAAUCCACAGUUCUAGAUACGAGUUAUUUAAUGUGACCGGUAGAAUCCCAUGUAUAUCUCCCUGCUCAACCUAUCUGAGCGUCGUAUUAGCAGGCUAAACGGAUCUAUCUAGGUCAAUGUUAGUCAAGUCCUUGAAUUACUUAAGUUUUAACUCUUCCUAGUCAAGUCCAUUUAAAAUCUUUUGUGCCUACCAGCGCAUCGAACACAGAGCCUAGAGAAUUCAGAUUCAGAUCCUUACACAGAUUCAGAUUGUCUGUUAUCACAUGAUUAUAUCACUUCCCAAAACAUCUCCUGUAAGCACAAUCCGUUAACACCAUAUUUUGUUUAUAUUUUUUUGAUUUUCUAAUGUUUUUCGAUUUUUUUUUAAAUUUUCUAAUUUUUGUUUUGUUUUUAUUUCCCCCCCUAAAUUUGUGCAUAGGAGAGAGAAAUGAAAGUAAAUGCCCAAAUUUAAACUAUCCUAAAACAAAAAUUAGUCUUUAAAGCGAAUCAGCUUAAGAAAAACUCAGGAGUAUUGAGAAGAAAAUUCAAACCGUAAGUCACUGAUUGAAUUUGCAUCCAGAAAGUCUGAGAACAGCAUGUGUAAUCUCAUAAAAGAUCCAAAAAUUCUUCACAUCAUUAAGUACUAACCCCAUGAGUGAUCCCUUCCUUUCUUCCCUUCCCGUAAAAGGACACAUACUCUCAAGAAAAAGUCUGAAUGUUGUACAGUUAAGAGAUGUCCCUAUCAUGUGCCUAGAACAGCCACUACCAACAAACCGAAGUCUGAUGAUACGCCUCCAUAGCUACUCCGACACAGAGCGGGAUUAAUUGGUCUUUGGAACCCAGUCCAUUUUGAAACUGGGUCGACCUUUGUCAUCAACGCACGAUACUCUCUCCCAUGACAUAUCAUGUUUAUCACAAACAGAAGAUAUAGAAAUAUUAGAAUCAUUAGAAGAUUUGGGAGAUUGAGCCUUCGGAACCCAUUUGUAGUUGGGUUUAACCCAUUUUUUGUUCGAUCCGAUGGGUGCCUUGACACUUGAUUUGGAACUUGAGGUCGGCUGCCGAGAUGACUUUGACCUAAUUGGUUUUGGCUUCACUGGAGCAUCUCUUGAACUAGACUUCUGGGCCAUCAUUCCAUUCUUGUUCUUAGGAGUUGGAUGCAUAGCCUUGGGAGUUGGAUGCUUGGCCUUGGGAGUUGAAUUCUUGGCCUUCAUGGCAUUCCAGUCGGCAUUGUCUGAACGUGACCUUGAAGGAUUUCUUUUGAAGUAUCUCCCACUUGGCGCGUUUUGCCAUCCUUGUGCGCAUUAGGGAACAUAUGCGCGAUUUGGACAAUUUUGGGCAAUGUGUCCAGGUGUUCCACAGUGAAAACAAGUCUUUUUUUUCACUGUGAAGUUAUUUCUUCCUGCCCCUGGUGGCGUAUCUUUGCCUUGUCUCUUAUGGUUCCCACAAGCACAAUUACAACAGGCACUCUGUUUCACUGGAAUUGGAGGCCUGUAUUUCUCAACGGCAGGUUUGUUAGGAGUAACAGAAUUCGAAGCAACAGAUUCUGAGUUCAAGGUGUCAUUGGUUUGUUCAGUAGUGCUCUCCUUGUUCUCAUCUUCUGCUACUUUACCUGCACAUGAAGUAGAAACAUUAGUUUUUUCAACAUUAAUAACUCCUCCUGACAUGAAUCCAAUUCAUUUUCCAUAUUGAAGAUGUGCCUCCCUGGCAAUUUCUUCCUGAGUCAUAGGGAUGGAUGUGUAGUUAUGAUUGAAAGAUGGAGGAACACUAUCAUACCCUAGACCCUUGUUUUGAUUAUCUUUGAAUUUUAAUUGGGUUUCAAAUAAGGACUCGACUGUCUGACUUGACGCAGUAUAAUUUUUAAAACUAACAUCUGUUUUUCCACACUUAAUUUCAAAGUGUCAAGUUCUUUAGUUACAGCAGCAAGUUGUCUCUUAAUAUAGUCAUAAUUUUCACACUUGUUGCUAUACUUUUCCUGAAGUUUCCUAAAGUCCUUGGUUUUUGCUUCUAAUUCAGCCUUCAGGGGUUUCUGUCCUUUCCUGAGUUGAUAUCCUUCAUAUCUCAGGUCCUCAACUUCUCUUUUUAAUAAAUCAAUUUGUUCCCAAAGAAAUUUAAUUGUAAUUACACAAGAUGGAGUACAUGUAACUUCAGUGACCGGAAUGUUUUCAGAACUCAUUGUUUUUCUACACUUCAAAGCAUCAAGUUCUAUAAUUAUAUCAGCAAGACUAAGAUGAUUGAGAUCUUUUGUCUUCUUGAUGAUAGCCACAUUCAUAUCCCACGAUUUCGGAAGUGAAUUCAGUAGCUUUUUGUUUAUCUCAAACUUAGACAAGAAGAUCCCAUCUAUAUUCAUCUCGGUAAUAAGUGUAGUAAAUCGCUGCAACUGAGUUUCGAGGGUUUCUCCAGAGAUAUAAUCGAAAAUGUUGAAAUUUUGUCUUAACGUAUCCUGACGACUCUCUUUCAUGUUUCAACUCCCUCGUAGACCUUAAAAUCAAUUAAAAAGCACAACUAGAAGCCAAAAUCAAAAUUAAAAGUCAAACCCUUUGAUUAUAAAAGUCAACCUUAAAAGUCAAAUUUAAAAAGUUAAACUCAAAAGUCAAACCGAAAAGUUAAAUUUCAAAAUUUAAAAGUUAAAUGAAAAAGUUAAAGUUUUAAGUCAAAGGUCAAACUUGGAAGUCAAAGUCAAAAUUUAAGGUCAAAAGUUAAAAAAUAAAAGUCAAAAAUUAAAAUAUAAUUUUAUUUAUUAAUUUUAAUUUAAUUUAUUAUUUAUUUAUUUAUUAUUUUGGAUGAAAAAAGAAUUUAAAAUUAAAAGGAAUUGAAUUUUGGACUGAAAGUGUAAAAAAUGCGAAACUUGAAGCGAAAAAGACGGGUUAUGAAUUAAAAGGGGAAUGAAUGUAUCAACUUGUGGCCUAGAGGAGUUGGUAAGGCGCUGAAGGAAUGCGAGCUGGAGGUCACGGGUUCGAUCUCCAGCACCUCCAAAGUCACGUCCUAUUUUUUUAAAUGCGAAGCGAAGCUGGUUGCGAGGCCGAGGUGCGAGGAUGAGCUGCGAGGUCGUAAAACACCAAGUCAAAGGCCGCAAACUCCGAGCCGCAAACCUCGAGCCGCAAACUCCGGACCGUGAACUCGGGUUGUGAACUCCGAAACCCUAGCCGCCGGCCGCAAACUCCGACCAAAAACACCGAAUUUUCGACUUUUUUGCUCCAAAACUAGAUCAAAAACCUUUUUUUAUGAAAAACAUGAAGAACAAACCCCCUUAUUUUUCAGAGAUCUAUCCAAAAACGGAAGAAUAUUUCAAAAAUAAGAUCAAAUUAUGCUCCAAAUCUGACAAAAUUGACUGAUACAACCAAGCUCUGAUACCAAUUGUAAAGUCCCUAAUCUGCCUGUGUAUCAAUCAGAUCCGUUCGAUGGUGUAGAAUCCCAAUCAAACGGAUGACGUCAGAUCAAAUAGAAGAGAAGGAGAAGAAGAAUAAUAUGAAUAUGUGUAUGAAUUGAUUAGAAUUAAAGUUCCAGAUACAAAAGAUUCACACACAAAAUGCUCUCUAAUUUCUCUCUUCUCUCGUUCAUCAUCCAGUUCCUCACACCUAACACCUAUAUUUAUACAAGAGGAACAUGGGCUUGGUGGACAUGGGUCGUAAAUGGGUUUACGGUCAUAAACCUGUUUACGGCCGUAAACUCAAUCGUAAACACCUUUCGGCCGUAAACACCAAGUUGUUUACGGUCCAAGACACAAAAAUACAUUUUUCUAGAGAAGUAAAGUAUAAGCCAUAUUUUUGACCCAACAUAGGAUUAGAGACAUAUAGUCAAAUCUGGGAGGAUAUAGCCUGAUCAAGUAUAUUUUCCGAGGAGUAACUAGCAUGUGCCUAAGAAUGGUUGUGGUGUUGCAACAAGUCUAAAAACUUACCAACACUACUACAAUGAUAACACUAGAAAAAAACAUGAACUUAAAAAAUACUAUAAGAGUGUUUUGUGUUACUAUGAUUACUUAUCUGAGAACUAAAAGGGUCUUUACUAGUAUGUCAAUAGUUGCUAAGUGGAUACACAAAGGUUAUAUGAGAUUAUGGUGUCAUAGACUUAGAAUUUGUGAUCUUUGCUUUACUUCCUGUUCCUUGUUUGGUUGUGGAUUUGGAGUUAGGGUUACUUAUUCGAAGGUCUAUCCUGCUUUGAUUUCAUAUAACUGGUAUGCACUAUGCAAUUAUUGAAGUAACUUGUAAGGAUCGUCUUAUAAUUAUAUUAAGUAGUAUGUCUAUUCAUAUUAGAUUCUUAUAUUUGUUUUCUCACGUAGAUAUCAUGGCUGGAUUCCAUGUUCACGGCGACCUGUACUUCCCGAACGAGGCAAUGCUGGAUGGCUUGAAGACGAGCCUGAAUAUGAGCAUCCAAUCCCUUUGGAUGAUCAUCAUGCAGAAGGCUUCUCUGAUGGUUCCGACUCCGAGCCAGAAGUCAACAACCUACCCCCUGUGGCUCCAGUACCAAAUCCUAACCCCCGUCAGGCUUUUCAAGGCCCGACGUCUGCAUCGGUGGAGUGCAUAGAAAGAUGGGGCGAAGAGCAAAAUCAGCGCAUGCCAUUCAAUGGAGACCGAAGCUUUUAUGGCACGAGUGAAGGAGGAUCAUCGGACAGAGUCUUGCCAAUCGUGGUCCGAAGGGUUGCCCGAAAAGAAAUCCAGGGCAGGACGGCUCUCCAACGCAUCACGGAGGUUGAAGCAAAUGCAAGAAUGCAUUCCAUUCGCACCAGCCACCUAGAGCAUGUUCGGGAGAGGUCUGCAACGGACCACGAGGCCCUUCUACAAGAACUAGCUGAGACUCGGGCUGAAGUCAUAGAGCUCCGAUUUCGUUAGAGAGUCUACGAACAACACCUUCUCGAUGUAGAGUGUCAACUAGCAGACCUUAGGGUUCGCUCGAGGAAUGCCCACCGUCGUUAGAAGAUGUCUAGCUCAUCUUUUCUCUUGAUUAAGGAAUAGCAUUUUCUUAUCUGUGCUCUAUGAAGCACUUGUCUGUAAAAUAUUCCUGUCUUUUAAAACACUAUCUAGUCUACUAAACUGUCAACAUUUUCCCUCGUAUGGUUUGAUGUAAGACCUACCGUUAGGUGAUUUUUAUCGAAAUUAUUUACAUCUGUAAUACCAGUAAUAUUGGCAGUUUCUAACCUAUUGGAAAGUUUAUGCUCUUGUGUUUUCAAACUCUAUUGUUGUAUCUCUAUUCAACUCAUACACUAAUUCUAAUGUUUGGGCUAUGGAGCGUUAGUCCACGGAUCCCUCUCGUCAUACUUUACAAUUGAUUCUUACUAUCAUCAUCAUCUCUAUAAACUUUCAUUAAAAGAUGGCACCUCGCCCGCGUCCUACCAAAGGCAGGCCAACAAAUAAAACACCACCACCACCUCCUCCAUUAAUUGAUACGACAGCUCUAAAUGUUGCAGUAGCUGCGGCUGUGGCAACAGCCAUAGCUCAAUAUCACUCUACGGGUACCAACGGAGGUGGAACACCUGUUAACUCUGCUCAAGGUGAAAUCCUCGUGCGCUCAAGGGAGUGCUCGUACAAGGACUUCACCAACUGCAAGCUAAAAUCCUUUAAAGGGACUGGCGGAGUCAUUGCCCUCUCGCAAUGGUUCGAAAAGAUGGAGUCGAUUUUUGAGAUUUGCUCCUGUCUAGCAGGGAGCAAGGUGAAGUUUGCUGCUUGCACCUUCGAGGAGAAAUCCCUGACAUGGUGGAAUAGCCAUGUGAAGUCACUAACUCUCAUAGUGGAAAAUGAUAUGGGUUGUGUAACAACCCGUUAUCCCGGGCAUUAUAAACCGAGUCUUGUAACCCCUUUUUGAUGUAAUGGGAAUAUCAUCGAUAAAUGAAUUGUUCAAAAGCUCUGAUUUGGAGUACGCUAGGUAGUAGAUAUCUUCUUAAAGGUUCCAAAUAAAUAAAGAACACUAAAAUCUGAGUUAUGGCGAAGAAGCUAUGACCAUUCUAAGAUUUCUGUCAAAACCGACAACACCGAUCAAACGAAAAACGCAAAGUUUCAAUACGAUAACAUUUAGCCUUAGGUAUCUAAAUGAAAGUCAUAGAUAACAUUAAACCGUGAGCGUACACAAAAAGAACGUCCAAAUCUGACUUCGCAUGAGGAAGUUAUGAUUUUUCAAAGAAAUUCCUUAAAAACGAUUAGUUAUAAAAUAAAUAAUAAAAAUAAUUUUGGAAUUUGCCAACGGAGUCUAAACGAAAGUUGUAGAUCGUAGUCUCACCUACGCGUGGAUAUAAAGACCAUCGAAAACGGAGUUCGUAUGAAGAAGAUAUGGAUUUUUGAAGUUUAUUAAAUAAAUUAAUUAUUUAUUUAAUUCAAAAUUCGGAUAUUAUCCGAAGAGGAGUCAGCGUCCUUCUCCGAAGUACGCGCUGCGUACUCCUGUACGCCCCGCGUAACCGAGAGGAUUGGCCUCGGAUCGUCCACGUCGCCAUAUCCGAGGAAGCCGACCCGUCCGACCCGUCCGACCCGACGUCCCAUCCGACCCGGCGUCCCAUCCGACCCACCUCCCCAGCAACCCGUCCCAUCCGACCCGAGAACCCAAGAACCCGUCCCAUCCGAACCGAGGCAGUCGAGGCUUCGGUCAUGCAUGACGUACGCGUACGCAGCGCGUACGAGCGUACGCCCCGCGUACCGAGGCAGACCUGCCUUCCUAUAAAUAGAAUGCGAGGGUUUCCAAAGAAAGGGUUCAUUUCUCUUCUCUCUCUCUCAGCAUUUCCUCGUUUUCCGUGUCCGUUCAAACCCGAAGCUCUGGUCUUUUUGGCUCAAGUCCCGAAGGCCGAUUCUACUCCCGAGAUUCCCGAGAAUCCCAAGAAAAAUCAGUUUCCCGAGACGAAACUCUGCUCGGUUUUCCACCUCACAAUCUUCAAACUAUCAAGUGAGUUCAUAUCCCCUUUGAACACUCUUUAAAUACAUUUUAAAUGUUUUAUACUCUUUUUGGGGAGGAAUACAAGUUAACACAUGACUAAAUUCGUGUGAAACAUUAACCUUUUGAUAUACUUUUCAUACUGUUGUUUUAACUAUCUUGUGAAGUUAUUAUGAUACAAAACCCCUCACAACACAGCUUUACCCUCUUUGGGAUAUAAUAUGUUUAUAAAUAGAAAUAUGUUUUAUUUAUACGUUUACAUACAAACACAUCAUAUCAAGGGUAACAUUCUUUACUAAGUCAUUUCAUGCAUUCAAAGAACUUAUGAUUAUGCUUUGUCAAACAUUGUGAAAGAGGUUAAACUUUGCAUACAAACUACUACCUUAUUACGGACUUAGUUGAGAAUCCAUGAGUCGUGUAUAUCUUCAAACGUUACUUUCUUUAUUAGAAAAUAAUGCUACAAGUCCUGUCUAUAACCAGAGUCUCCCGUUCGGAGAACGUGUCAAAUGUGUAUAGAUCUAUACGGGAAGUCAUGAUCCCGCGCCCUGACUGUUAGCUACAGUCCGUCUUUUGGGGUGACAGUUGUCAUAACGCUACGACGCCUGAAGAACGUCGCUACAGGCAUAUUAUGUUUAGUAUGGUUAUAAAACUCAUCGGAUAUACAAUUAUUAUGGUAUUAUGCUUUUAUGAACAAGUAGUCAUUAAAACUACUUUUCAUUUAAUAAGGGUGAUUUUCGUAUAGCUUUACUAUGUAAAACUAUGACACGACUUACAAGCACGUCGCUUGCUUGCAAUUUUCGGUCUUAAAGACUGCCAGUUAUGUCAGGAAAAUAAGGGUUUUUCCUGUAUACAAACCAAACAACUAAUAGGAAAAUAAGGGAUUUUCUCGGUACAAUUAGUUGCAAUUUACAUCACGAACAUUCAUAUGCAUUUCAUACUUUUAUAAGAAAAUAAGGGUUUUUCUGGAAAACAUGCAAACACUUUCGAAUGGCAUACAUCUUCUCAAAACACCACUUAUGAAUUCACCAACUUAAAUGUUGACACUUUUUCUUUGAAAUAACUUGUAUUCACAGGAAACCGCUAGCCAGGUAGCAACUACUUCUGAAGACUAACGCACUGGCGUUAGUAACAUAUUUUGGAUCACCAUUUUAUAUUUGAUUUCUUUUGCAAAUAUGUAACACCUACAAUCAUGUAAACUUUUCAAACAUAUUUAUAUUAUGGUGAUGUGUACUUUCCUUUCUAUGAACUGUUAUGAUACUAAAUAUGACGUCCUCCGCCCCCGAACGAUUCCGCCGUUCUGGUUUGGGGGUGUGACAGGUUGGGAAAACCUGAAAGACCUCAUGAUUGAGGAAUACUACCCGAGGGGCGAAAUCCAGAAGCUAGAACAAGAGCUAUGGAGCCUAACCAUGAAGGGCUCUGACAUAGUUUCUUAUACCACUAGAUUCACCUAACUGGUGGCUCUAUGUCCCAACAUGAUUCCCACGGAGGGGAAGAAGAUAGAGAGGUAUAUAUGGGGGCUGUUGCCUCUAGUUCAAGGAAAUGUGUUAGCUUCAAACCACAGUACUUUCGAUAGUUCCAAGCGAUUGGCACAAUGACUUAUUGUCCAUGAAGUCCGUACCCCAUCAACAACAACAACCCUAGCCAUCUCAGAACUCUCCAAAGCCACUGGCAUCAAGCGGAAAUUUUGUGAUGACAAGUGUUGGGUUUUGAGCAUUCUAACACUCCUGUGGUGUACAUAAAAGCCUAUAAACCUUGGAUCUAUGUUUUCUCUAUUAUACAUGCAAAUAUGAACUUUCCAAGGUAUUACCUAUAACUAGCAUACAAUUAUCAUAUACAACACAAGAAUCUAGUUAGGAUAACAUACCUUAUUGUAGAGCUUGAAGUCUUGAUGUAUCUAGCCUUAAGAGCUUAGCCUCAAUAGUGUGGAAGCCUCAAGUGGAAUCACAACACAUCAUGAACAAAGGAUGAACUUGAGAGAGAAUCUCCAUGUACCUAAAAGCCACCAUGAACUCCAAGAAUCACUAGUUAGCGAUUUUGAGCAAUAAAGUAUGUAUUUAUAUGUGGGAUUUCUAGGGUCAUGGAUAUAACCCAAAUCCAUACCCAUGGGUUUAAUGAUCCAUGAUUCAUGUGGCACAACUCUUUAUGUAUCCAUACAUAAACUUGGUCCAACGUGGAUCAUAAGCCCAACACAUAUAAAUAUAACUAAUUAACAAAAUUAGUCCCCAUAGAUUUAAUUAGUCCCUUUUGAUCACUAAAACAAUUCCAAAUUAAUUCUUGAUCAAUACUAAUUAAAACAUAUGAUUUCAUAUUAAUAUAUUAUAACUUAUAAUAUAUUAAUAAAUCAUACACAACAUCUUCUCUCAAAUGUCCAUCCUAACAAAUUGCCCUGAUGAUAUGCAACCCAAAUGGACCAUGCUACUCUCGGGUCAAGUACAUACCAAUAAUAGUUAUGGGCUUAGACAUCUAAUCCAACAGUCUCCCACUUGGAUAAGUCUAAAACAGUUAUUGCAAGUACGACUUCAUAACCUGACUAGCAAUCGUAGCUCUUAAAGUCGCUGUCAAACUCUGAACAAAUCAAAUGACACAUCCAUUAGAUAAGUGAUCAUAUAUUCCUCCAUUCUAGAUUUCAUAUGGAUUGAGAUAUGGAUUAUAAUCAUUCUCGCUGUCCAUUUGUUGUUUCCCGAUUUCCGAUUUAUAACGACCGACUGAUUGAAAAAAUCAAAUCAGUCAUGGAUUGGCCAAGCACACACAUGUGUCGUCAUUAAAUCAUCGAGGGGCCCACAGAUAUCGCUUUUAUCCUGAAGGUAAAAGGAAUGGAUAAACUUCGACUCAUAUGUCUUGUUCUACUACUUGCUGAAUCAUACAUAAAGGCACGUUUUAUAACAUCGAGUUACCGAAUGCGUUUUCGUGCAAUCAAUGUAUAACCAACUCAUAGUAACCACUCAUAUCUCUAGGUUUGAAUAAUAUAAGAUAUUAUCGUCUCAUGAUUCACUAAUGAUAAAAUCCAUGAAGUGAUUCAAAUGAGCGUGUGUUUAAUCCAAUACUGGAAUCUUAUACCAGGAGCACUCAUGAAUGUUGCAACAACCAUUGCUAUGUCUAGUGCACCAUAUACAAAUCGUACAAGCCAAAUUCAUGACAGUCUUGAUUCAUACCUACUUCUAGUAUAUGACUGACUGUGGAUGGUUUGAAUAACUCAGUCAUUCGGGAAGAAUGACCCAAUUAUUCUGGAAGUCAAAACAUGCAAAGUGAAACACAAGAAUAAUACUAAUCUUAUAUGGCCCCAACACUUUGAGUGUAAAUAAAAACACCUUUUAUCUAAGAACCAUAUGGAUUAGUUAUUAUUUAUGUUUCGAUUUAUCAACUUUAUACUUGAAUUGAAAACAAUAGUCAUGCCAUGCUCCAAGGAUGCCCACUAUGUUUGUCCAAACAAUAGUCAUGCCGUACACCAAGUAUGCAUACUAUGUUUUUCUAUGAUCUUUACUUUGUGAAAUAGAUCAAUUGAACAUAAUUCCAAUGAUUCUAUUUCACAAUCCCAAAUCCUUAUAGUAAAUGUAAGAAUGCCAAACUCUUUCCAUUUACUAUAAUCUGUUAGAUUCUAAACUUAUAUGCAAUGAUCCAUUUGCAAUGACUAUGCACAAAAGUCACAAAGACUUGGCAACAGACAUUUACAAAGUAUUCCAAUGGAGAAAAAUUCCAUGGAAACGAAGUCCUAAAUUCAAAGUAAAUUCCUUUGAACAUCGUUCUUUGCAUUAAGUACUCUAAUAUUACACAGAUUCAAAGAAUAACUUCCACCUAUGGAAACAUUUCCAUAUUUCCAUUUUGACUAUCACUUAUGAAUAAGAGUUGCCUUUUUUCAGAAUAUGUCAAUAUGGUCCCAGCUCUAUACUUCUAAUUGUCCCUUAGCAAUCAAUCUUUGGUAAACCAUAGAUUGUCCUCGACAAUUGCUUAAUCAUUUUAGUCAUUCUCACAAUUGCUAUCUACUCAAAAUCUACUUAGUGACAGAGUUUCCUUACCAUAUUUUUCAUGAAUCGAAGAGAAACCUUAUGACUCUUAGAUUUUAUGGUGUAAGUGUUCCUAUCCAUGUGAAUUUGUCAUAACCUUAAUCACAAGACAAUAUUAGUGGCAAAUCUACACUCAUAUGGACUGAGCUUGUUCAAUCUUAAUUUCUUGCCAUCUGGCAGUACAAGGGCCUACCAUUGCUUCUACGUUGUUGUGCAAACAACUGAGAACUCUUAGAACUCACAUGCAUGGACAACUUUAACUGGAAUGGUCACAGAAAUAAGAAAGUGUCAACAUGAUAGGUUACAAACCCCAAGUCGUGGGCUAGUGAUUAACAAUACUCUUGAUUAGUUCUUGAAACUAUCUCAAGUUCUUUUAAGACUCCCACUGUCCUCUUGACAUAUAGGAUUCUCUUUGUUAAGAACCAUUCCUAGACAAAUAGUCAAGAGUUGGUGAGAACUCUUAUCAAGAUUAACACUUCACACAAUUGAUCUUAGUUGGUCUUUGUCUUAUCCAAAACAUCACAACCUACCAAUCCCAAAUGUACAAGAGUAAGAAACAUGUUACUCUGCAUUUGAUAAGCGUUAGAAACCUUUCUUAAAAUUACGUCACUCAAGUUACAAUCGUAGAGUAUGACUCUAAUACUUGAUUUUGGAAUGAAGAAUGAUUUAUCUUUUGACUUAACCAUUUCAACAAUUCACGAUUCCUCUCCUUAGCCAAACAAACGCACUAAGGUAUCCUUAGAGGAUCAAUUGUGAUAUGGUUUUUCUAAUCACUAAGAUAAUCAUAAAACAUGAUACUAAAGUACUCUCCCAUCUUUUCAGAUUUGAGAAACUUUUAUCCUUCUGCCAAAUUUGAUUCUUCUCAUUCGUUCUGCCUAUCACUGUAACUCUUCCAAUGAUCCAGAAAUAUACUUAAACUUGUAAGCAUAACCAUAUUUACUAACCUUUAGUAAAUCAUGACGAAUAGUCUUAUCAUUCUUUGUGGUGGAGUUGACCAACACACAACUAAGUGUACCCAAUCCUUCACUUGACUCACACAUACAUGUGAAUAAAGAGUUAGUCUUAAUUUCCCAAAAAUGAAAAUUCUCAUUCAUCCUACAAUACAACUUGCACGAUUCCAAGUUUCUAUCCAACUAAACCUUGGGUGAUGAGAAUUUUUUCCUUAUUUGGUAAAUUAUGACACUACCACAAAUGAAAGAAUCAAACCCAUCUUCCAGUAUUUCUUAUCAAUGGAAACAACAAUAUUCACAAAUGCCAUUAUAAGGAUACUUAAAAUAAAUAAAAUCAAAAAAAAAUUCUUUUAUUUUAAAACACUUGCGGAAAAAAAAUCUUAUCCUUACAAUGCAAAUACAUAUGAAAACUAUGUUGUUAUCUAUUCUUAAGCAAUAUAACAUCAUUCUUAAGCAUCGGUUCAAAAUUCUGAUCAUCGAACCAUGCGAUCAGAAUCAGCAUAGCUUUUAUUUAAGCUUCCUUUGAUUCUUCAAAAACAUCAAGAUGUACUUACAUUACAUCAUGUAUUAAGAAUCUCCAAAAGAGACUUAAUAGAGUUAGAUAACGGACUUUACCUGAAGUAGAGUCAAACUUUUAUCUUUACCAUCCUUAUGAGGCUUCAGGUAAAUCCGGCAGCUUCGUAACCAAUGCCCCUCCUAUUGGAAAAAGGAAACAUAUGGACUCUUUGGAAAUGGUACACCGGACUAUCACAGACUUAGCCUUUCUCUUUACCAUUGGGUCAAAAUGACUUGACCAUGGCCAAUCCAUUUCAAUUGGGAAGAGAAAGGUUUUCUGGACUUUCAAUGUCACCAAUGUCAAUGUCCAAAUAGGUUUGGGAAGUGGAUCUUCCAACCUAACUUGUUUUACCAAUGCUCCAAAUCAUUGUUGAUCCAACAUCAUCAAGCAAGUAGGUAAUAUCAUUAAGGGUCAUGUCGUGAUCUGUCAUCCGGGAGUGACUGAAGAACCAAGUCAACAUCCAGCUACCUCGAGACUUCGACACCCAACUCUCCCAGCUUGCCAAUAUGUGAUUUAAUCUCCAAGAUGUAAGCAGAUAGAGAAUUUUAUUUCCAAUAUGGAUUGAGUGACUUAGAACUAUUCAAGUCUUGAAACUUUUGGGAUAGGGAGAUUUAUUGAAGGAGGUGGAGGAAAUGAAGUAUGAUUUCCAGUCCCAUUAGUGCACAAUAAAGGGAUUAGUCUUUCACCUUGAUUGCCUUUUGGGAUAUCAUCUUCAUUAGGAAGCUUGUUCUCAACGAUUUGGGAAGACCAUAGUUGUCUAAACUAGACAUCUAUAAGGGAGAAAUUCAAGUUAGUUGAUUUAAAGUCCUUAAUAUAACACCCAAUAUGAAAUAUUAAGGCUAGGACCCAACAACUUAUUUAUAACUGGAAGAGCGAUGUCGUAAUCCCAGUUAUAAAAUAGUUAAAGGUAUGUGAAUGACGAGUUACCAAUUUCCACCAUGAAAAAUGAAAUACAAUUAAGUUUUAAUUGGAUUUGAAACUCCAAGAUAUUUUGAGAUACAUUGAACUUUCAAUGACAUGUUUGAAUCUCGAUUGUGCCCUCUCAAGUUUGUGACUGGGAUGCCGAGGAUCAUAAACAAGGUGUGAAUAACCAUGCAAAUUGACUUGGUACCCUUAACUUUAUCACCUAAUCGAUGUGCCGGUUAACCACACACGCUCCACCGAUCUAUAAUAAAGCCAGGUUACCCUUUGCCACUCUUACUAGUCCUUGUUAGCAUGCCGGUUAGCCACACACGCUCUACUAACGACUUGGUAAGGUACAAAGUGUAAUUUCAUGGGUUAACACCUAUUUCACAUUUUCCUAAGUAACUAAGAUUGGGAAUUUAUAAGUGUUUAGUUACUUAGUAUUUAUCAUUAUACUUUUAAUGAAGGGAGAAUUAUUGUCCUUUCCUACCCGUUCGGCUAACGACCCUCCACCAGUCAAGGAUGUGGUGGGUGAGAGUGAACACCCAUUAAACCGCCAUUUUAUAGGCAGUAACCUUAUACCCCCCCUUAUAGACCGGCUUUGUGAAUGAGGCCUACUAAUGGUAAGAUUGACUUUAUCUUAUACAUAUCUAUAUAAUUAAAAUUAAAAUAAUAGUAUAAGAGUGUAUUAUAAACACUUAAAAUACUUGGUGGUUUAAUCUAUUAAUUAAACUAUACUAUUAAUUUAGUCAAACUUAAACCAUGUCUUUAUGGAAGUAUUAACUCUUUUAAUUAAACACUUUAAUUAAUUUAAUGAAGUCCAUAAAGUUUGAGUUUUAACCUUUUAAAAUUCUAGGGUUUGGAAUUAAAGUGUACAUUGGGGUGACUUUACAAAUUCCAAAACUUGAGGGCAAGUUUUGAAACUAUUCAAGACUUUUUCAUUUCAUAACUUAUGAGUUUAAUGUACAUUAAAAUAAAGACUCUUGAUUUUUAUGUAACUCCUUAUCUUUUAAUAACAAUUUUAAGGAAGUGACUUUUCAACAUCCAUAACUUGAGGACAAGUUAUGGAGUCAUAAAACCAUUUAAUGUAAAAGACUCUUCAUCUUUUAUGUAACCUAUGACACAUUUAUGAGUUUUAAGAUUCAUAAAUAUGAAAUUUCAUAUAACUUGAAGACAAGUUACAAAAACAUAUUUUAUGAACUUACUCUAGAUUAAUUUGGAUUGAAAAAAACUAAACCACAAUUUUUUUCAAUAAUCUAAACCAACUCAUACAUCAAGGAAACAUAAAACUCUUGGUAAUCCAUAAUUUGAGGACAAGUUAUGGACUCCAUACAAUUUCAUUGAGAUCAAGAAUUAUACUAACAAACAAUUUGCACAUAAUUCCUAUGAUCUACCAAAACUCAUAAGUAUGAACAUUCAUAAUCAACAUUUUUCAAGAAUUACAUAAACACAUAUAAAACUUGAAACUUUGAUUAUAGCAUUGAAAUUGGUUUAGCAUAAUCAUUACCACUUAAAAAUAGGUUUUAUGAGUCCAAAACAGUCAAUGGUAAUGAUUCUAGACCAAUUCCAGAACCAAAACUCCAAGAUAUGCUAUUUGGGGUUCCAACUCGUCGAGUGCACGAACCAACUUGGCGAGUUGGAUGAGUUUACACUUGGACUCGUCGAGUCCCUUCAUGGAGUCGGCGAGUCUACUAUGUAGACAACACCAAAAUUCGAUUUUCAGCCGAUUUGCAUCAAGUAUAAGAGAAAACAAGCCUAGGCUCUGAUACUACUGUUGGGUUUUGAGCAUUCUAACACUCCUAUGGUGUACAUGCAACCCUACAAACCUUGGAUCUAUGUUUUCUCUAUUAUACAUGCAAAUAUGAACUUUCCAAGGUAUUACCUAUAACUAGCAUACAAUUAUCAUAUACAACACAAGAAUCUAGUUAGGAUAACAUACCUUGUAACUUUCUUAUACAUAUACUAGAUACAAUUCUAAUAUGUAUAACUACAAGGGAUAAAUUUAAAACUCUUUAAAUUUAGUUGAGUAUUGUUAAUUCUAAUUAAUUUCGAUGACACAAUGCAACAAUUAAUAAAUUAUGAGGGAUUAAUAUUCAAAUUUAUAAAUCUCUAUUAUAAAUAAUAUUAAAUAUUUAUAUUCACUAUUUAAAUAAGAAAUAAAUAUUCAAAUUCAAAUAAUCAUAUUUAAAUAUUUAUCAAUUUUCCAGAUUUAAAACAUUUUAAAUUUGGUAUUUAUCCUUAUUUAACAAACCAUCAAAUUUGAAAAAUGNUCACGUCUUGAGCAUCAAGCUCUCACGUCGUGAUCUAUGAUUGAAGGUUUUAUCAAAUUGCGAAUUUUUAAAUCUUCCUUAUUUCAUUCACAUUCAAACAACUAUUUUUAGAAAAUAUGGAUCUAGGGUGAAUGUAAUCAUGAACCAAUGGCUCUAAUACCACUGUUGGGUUUUCUACGCAUCAAAUACACUCUAAACUAGGCGGUGGAAAAAUUGAAACUAUGAUAUACCUAAGUGUACAUGCAGCCUAUGGAUCUAUGGUUUCAUGCUAAUUGCAUCUAUCCUAUAGAACAAAAAUAUAAAGAAGAAAAACAUGCCUCUUAUGUAGCCCUUGAUCUCCAUGCUUGAGAUCUUGAGCCUCCAUGAAGUUGCUUGGAUCAAAGGACUCAAACAAAAAUCCAUCUAAUGGUAUCACAUCUGAUGAAACCAAAGACCAGAAUAAAAAUAAAUAAGAGAAGGGUCAAAUUCACAAACCCUAAGAGGGUCAGAAAUCGUCCCUAAGAGGGGGAUGAAGAAGAGUUGGCGAAAAUUCAAACCAAGGUGUAAGGAAGAAUGAAAUCCCUAAGGCCCAAUUUAUAGCGUUGGAUCCCUCCAAUGUUUUGUACUUCUUCUCAUGUUGGAUGAGGAGGUAACCAUGAAAUUCAACUAAAUUUACUCCUUUUCCCAUGUGGGAUGGAGUUAUUUUUGUCCAACCCUAAUUCCAUAAGGGUUCCGGAAUAUUCAUGAUCAACCAACUAUUGAUUAUUUAAAUAUUGAACCCUUUGAUUAAUUAAACUACUAAUUAAUUCCCAAAAUAUAUUUCCAAUUAGUUUCUAAUUAAUUAUUAACCAUAAUAAUUAAUAAAACAAUUUCUCCUUUAUUUAUUCUACUCAAUUUGGGUCCUGAGAGCAACCGAAAAGGACCCUGCUAUUAUCAGAAAUAUCACCAAUAGUUAAUGACCCUGGACACACUUUGUCACACCCCCGAAACCGAUGGCGAAAACGUUCCGGGGCGGAGGACGUCAUGUAAAGUAUCACAACCAAUGUACAUAAUAAGCAUAGUAAACACAACCAAUAUAUUACAUAGGAAUAUUUACAUUUGUUUGAAAGUAAAGUAAUACAGUUUUACAUGUACAUUAGUAUAACAAAAGUAAAGACGAGACUGCUAAAAUGCUCCGUCUUCUCCAAAAGAACACGGGAUACCUGUCUAACGUUGACCUGAGAAUACAAGCAGUUUUAAAAAUAUUAGCAUAAAGAUGGUGAGUUCAUAAGUGAUUUAUUUCUAAUAAAAGAACAAGUUUCCUUUGGUUUACUGAAAAGUUGUUAUCCAAGAAAAUCCCAUAUUUUCUUAUAAGAAAAGUUUAGGUAUCCAUUUGUUACACAGCUUGGUUAAGAACAGUUAAGUCAUCGCAGGAAAAACCCUUAUUUUCCUUAAAAGUUGGUGGUUGGUUAUCGAUUCGGAAUACAGUGUACAAGUAUCUACCAUACUUAUAGCGUUUAAGUGAAAUAUCCUAAAAGCCUGGUUAUCCUUGAAAAGUACAUUAAUUUUAACACGUAUAUAAAACUAACAAGUAGGUAGUUUUAAUACAUAAAACUAUAGAAGAAAGAAAGGAAUCCGUGAAUAAAGUUAGUUAAUUUAAUACGUAUUGUGAGUCGUAUAACCAUACUAAUUUGACCCAUGACCUCCUUGACGUUUUUUAGGCGUCGUUCGAUUCCAAAAUUUGUCACCCUAGGCGUGCCCGCCUAACUGUAGCUAGCAGUUAAGGUGUGGGAUUGUCAGUCCCGAAUAUAUCUAUUCACAAAUUUCACGUUCUCCCUCCAGGAGACUCUGGUUAUACUUCCGGAGAGGAUUUACUGGUACCCCGAAGGGUAUAAUGAAGAUAAAUCUCACAAGCUAGUAUUACUAAUUCACGGGAUAACAGAUCGUUCUCGAGUUUCAAAAUAAUUUGGUACAAGGUAAAGUAUAAAUAAUCAAAUAUGAUAUAUUUAUUUAACAAAAUACUCUAGAUUAAACAUGGAUAAACUAAAUUAGACAUAGUUUAUAUUAUUGACUUUGCACAAAGUUUGAAUCCAUAAAACAAGUAAUGACGAUCCCAAAUUAUUCUCAUAAUAAUUUGGAUGAUUAGAUAAGUUAUAAAUUGGAUGAUUUGAUAAGUUCCCACAUUGUUUGAAAACUAUGUAAUUGCAUUCCGAAAAUCUCCCUUAUGCUCCGCAUAUUACAAAAGGGAUUAAGUAUUUAAAAGUUUGUCAGAAAAUUGUAUAAUUACAUCAGUUUUAAGUUUUGAAAACCUUUAUGAUUUACUUGUAUUCCCCCCCUGAAAACAUGAAAAACACGGAAAAUGGAGUAGGGGUAUGAACUCACCAGACGAGAAAUGUGUCGGUUAGGAUGCUAAGUAUCAGUUUAAGGCUUGAACACGCGCGAGGUUCCUAUGUAACAUGAGGUGAUACAUAAUUGUAUCUAAUUAGACUUUGAACUACUAAUUAAAUAAGAAUAUACACUCCGAGGCGCGAAAACAGUUCAUCUCAAGUGUUAGGAAUGAUCCGGGUUGCAUCUAAGGAGGUGUAAGGCCUAGAUAUGGAGUUUUCUCUUCAAGAGUAAACUCCUAGGGGAGUUUGCGGCCCAAUGACCAUAUCCCCAUGAGUUUACAGCCGUAAAAUCAUGGGUGGUGUGUUCUUGGAUGCUUAAAGGUCUUACAACAUUAGUGGAAUUAGGCUAGGUUCAGUUCUAAGGCAAUGGAAGUCAUUCAGCCAUCAAAUGGACCAUUAUGGGGAGUUUACGGCUGUAAACAUAGAUUUUACGGCUGUAAACUCUUACUUGUCCUUUCCUUUUGUGUUUUGAUGGUCCUAGGUUAAGCACAAAUGAUUCUAGUCCAAUGUACAAGUCAUGGAAGGAAGUUAGGGAACCAUUUGACCACUUUAGAGGAGUUUACGGCCAAAGGACCCUUCCUUUGGGGGUUUACGGCUGUAAUCCCCUUAUGGUCAUGUUUUCUUUCAAGAUUAAGGCCCCUAAUACAAUGGUGGUUGGUUCUAGAAAUUAUUCCAAGCCAUAGGAGGUGUUUAAGGGGCAUUUUAACACCUUAAAUGGUGUUUACGGUCCAUGAAGGAGGGUUUAAGGUCCAAUCAUGAUCUUGGGCCGUAAACUCAUGUUUACUCCCCAAUUUACAAGUUUUUGGUGUUCUAAGUUCAUACAUGUAAGACCCUAAGUCAUAGUUAAGCACCAGAAGUGAUUUGGAAGGGUUUUGAGGCUUCAGAACCCCAUUUAUAGGUGUUUGCGGUUUUAGGUUGUUCCUGGGCCGUAAACACAUGUUUUUGGCACAUUUGGAUCAUUUAAACACGGGUUUGUAUGUUAAACAAGCUAAUCUAUAAGCUAGGAUGGAUCACUUACCAAUUUGGAGCUUGAAAUGGGUGGUUUUGGAUCAAGAUUUGGAUUGUAGACAGACAGUAAAGAGAGAGAGAGUGAAAAAGCUUCAAAUGAAGUCCACUCACCCUUAUAUAGGGUUUGAAUUUGUGGCCCGGUGGAAAGCUACCCGAUACUGACGUUAAACGGAGCUUAUGGUCGUACCCGAUUAAGUUGUCAUAACCCGACAUGGUCGUAAUUAAAAGAUUUUCCAAAUCAAAAUUGGGGGUAUUUUCACGUGUUUCUAAUGUGUUUGGACACUCAUGAAGUCAUAAUAAAGGUCUCAAUUUAAUUAACUUAAUCCAAAAGUUAAUAGAAAAAUUGAAAUAUAGACGGGUUUUAUUAACGAAAAUGGGUUACUGUGACAGAAUAAUUUCAGGUUGUCACAUUAUCCUCCCGUUAGAGGGAAUUUUGUCCCGUAAUUUAGAAUUAAGAUACAAAUCAUGGAUUUGGAAAGAGAUGCGGAUACUUCUGUUUCAUCGAGUCUUCGCAUUCCGAAGUGAAUUCGGGUCCCCGCUUGGUAUUCCAGCGAACCUUCACUAUCGGGAUGCGACUUUGUUUUGUACGAUUGAUCUCUCGAUCCAUGAUUUCGAUUGGUUUUUCCACAAAGUUCAGGUGUUCGUUGAUCUCGAUCUCAUCAAGAGGGAUCAUGAGGGUUUCAUUGGAUAGACACUUUUUAAGAUUAGACACGUGGAAGACAGGAUGGAUGUUGCUAAGUUCUUGAGGUAUUCGGAGUUUGUAGGCUAUAGGACCGAUCCUAGCGAAGAUCUCGAAAGGUCCUAUGUACCUCGGGUUAAGUUUUCCGUGCUUUCCAAAGCGUAUCAUGCCUUUCCAGGGCGAGACCUUCAACAGGACAUGAUCUCCAACCUGGAAUUCCAAGGGUUUCCGUCGUUUAUCGGCGUAACUCUUUUGUCUGUCUCGUGAAGCUUUCAGUCGUUCUCGGAUCUAGAUGAUCUUGUCGGUGGUUUUGCAGAUGAUUUCAGGACCAGUGAGAUCACUGUUGGGGAUUCGACUCUUGGCUAGCUGUGUGUCCCCUACCUCGGCCCAACACAGAGGGGAUCUGCACUUGCGACCGUAGAGGGCUUCGAACGGGGCAACCUUGAUAAUAGUGUGGUAGCUGUUGUUUUACGAGAACUCGAUCAAGGGUAAAUGGUUGUCCCACGACUUUCCGAAAUCGAUGACACAUACUCUCAGCAUGUCUUCCAGGGUCUGAAUAGUUCUCUCACUCUAUCCAUAAGUCUGAGGAUGGUAAGCUGUACUCAUAUCCAACUUGGUUCCAAGAGCUUUCUGAAGGGACUGCCAAAACCUUGAGGUAAACCUGCUAUCUCGAUCGGAGAUAAUGGACACAGGAACACCGUGUAGUCCGACUAUCUCUUGGAUGUAGGUUCGUGUAAGUCUUUCCAUCUUGAAUGAUUCUUUAAUCGGAAGGAAGUGAGUGGAUUUUGUCAAUCGGUCGACAAUUACCCAAACGGUAUCGUACCCACUCGGAGAUUUGGGUAACUUGGUGAUGAAAUCCAUAGUAAUCAUCUCCCAUUUCCACUCAGGUAUCUCGGGCUGCUGGAGCAAACCUGAGGGUUUCUGGUACUCGACCUUUACUUUGGUGCAAGUCAGACACUUGCCCACGAAGGUAGCGAUUUUGGCUUUCAUGUUUGGCCACCAGUAUAGCUUCUUGAGAUCCAGGUACAUCUUAUCCGAACCUGGGUGAACAGAGUAUUUGGUCUUGUGAGCUUCGUUCAUGACAACUUCGCUGAAACCUCCAAACUUUGGGGUCCAAAUUCGAUCCAUGAAACAAUAAAAUCCGUCACAUCUGAUCUCAAGUUUCUUAUCCAUUCCUCUCAGAGCUCCGUUCGACACGUUCUUUGGUUUUAGGGCUUCCAACUGGGCUUCUCGGAUCUGUACAUAUAAGUGGGAAUGGAUGGUGAUCGUCAAUGUCUUCGCCUUGUUGCUUGAGGUUUCCUUUCGGCUAAGGGCAUCUGCUACCACAUUGGCCUUACCGGGAUGGUAGCGGAUUUCGCACUCAUAGUCACUGAGCAGCUCUACCCAUCGCCGCUGCCUCAUGUUUAAGUCUUUUUGAUCGAAGAUAUGUUGCAGGCUUUUAUGGUCGGUGAAAAUCGUGCGCUUGGUUCCGUAGAGAUAAUGUCUCCAAAUCUUCAGUGCGAUGACCACUGCUCCUAGCUCCAGGUCAUGAAUCGUGUAAUUAAAUGUAUGUGCCUUUAGCUGUCUCGAGGCAUAAGCGAUAACUUUUCCUCUCUGCAUUAGCACACAGCCUAAACCCUGACUGGACGCAUCACAAUAGACAACAAAAUCCUCUGUUCCUUCGAGCAGGGACAGGAUAGGUGCGCUGCACAGGGCUCGCUUCAAUGUUCGGAAGUCAGUGUCUUGCUUUUCACUCCAACAAAAGGGUACACCUUUCUGUGUCAGAGUGGUUAGGGGUUUCGCGAUUCUUGAAAAAUUUUGAAUGAAUCUAAGAUAGUAGCCGGUGAGACCUAAGAAUUGACGGAUUUCUGUGGGUGUCUUUGUUGGAUAAGGUGUCUAAGUCCAUAACUAUUUCGGGUGUGUACUUGACCCGACCCGACAUGGUCCAUUUGGGUUGCAUGGCACCAUGCAAUUGGAUAGACUAAAUGAGAGAAAUAACACUUGGAGAUUAUUAAUAUAUUAUAAGUUCUAAUAUAUUAAUAAUAUUAUUUGAUUAGUUUGAUCAAUAAUUAAUUUAGAAUUAAUUAAGUGGUCAAAAGAGAACUAAUUAAAUAUAUGGGUUGAUUAUGUAAAUCAUCCAUAUCUUGUAUAGUGGGCUAAGAGGCUCCAUGGAUUAUCAAGUUGGGUUCUACCCAUAGGAUGCUCCAUGGGAGUUACAAACCCAUGGGUCAUGGAAAUGAAGAGUCAUGACACAUUAGGGUUUACAUGGUGUAACCCUAGAUGUGUCAACACUAUAUAAGAAUCAUAUUCUCCACCAAAAUCGGCUACACUAAGAAACUAGAGGGCUUGGCCGAUUUUGAGAAGUGUGUGUUAUCUCAAGAGUCUUUCCAAGAGCAUUUGGUGUUGUGUGAAGCAUUUGAGGCAUCACACUUGGGGUGCUAGGCUCACAAGGUUUCAAGGAACACAAGCAACAACAAGGUAAGUUAUUCUAUCUAUGAUUCAAGUUAAAAUUGUUCCCCAUGUAUGCUAGAUAGGAAUAUAACCUUGGAAUUCAACUUUGCAUGAUAAUUAGACAAACAUAGAUCCAAGGUUAUUAGGGUUGCAUGUACACUUAGGAAGUGUUAGAAUGCUCAAAACCCAUCAGUGGUAUCAGAGCCUAGGCUUGUUUGUUUGUUAUUUGUGCUUAAAAGUUGAAGAAAGUCGAAAAUUCUGCUGUCUGACUGAUGGACUCGGCGAGUCCAUGGGGAGGACUCGUCGAGUUCAUGUGUAUCUUCAACCUACUCGGCGAGUAGGUUUAUGCACUCGGCGAGUAGGGUCGACAGAGUGCAGAAUUUCGACUUGAGUUGCUGGAAAUGGAUUAGAAUCAUUACCCUAAAAUGUUUUGGUACUUGAAAACUUAUUUUAGAAGGUGUAAUGUCUUUUCUAACUCAUUUACAACAACUAGUUAUCAAAAUUACAAAGAUUAAAUGUGAUUUUGAUUCUUGAAAGUGUUCAUAUUCAUAUUCUUGUUCUUAUGAUGUUUAGAUGAUCAUAGGAAUUAUUUGUAACCUAUGUGGUAGAUUAAUUCAUGAUCAUAAUGUGUUUUAAUGGAGUCCAUAACUUGUCCUCAAGUUAUGGAAAACCAAAAGUCUCUUGGAUUAAAAACCAUUAAAAGAACACAAGAGUUAGGAAAAAUGAAAAGUCCUCAUUUUAUUACUCUAUUAAACUCAUAAGUUACAAGAAAUGAAAAGUUUUGAAAGUUUACAAAACUUGCCCUCAAGUUUUGGAACAAGUAAAGUUAAGUUAAAACUUUAGUUCCAACCCCUAGAAUUUUAAAAGUUAAAAUUCAACCCUUAUACUUAUAUUAUUAUGAUUUAAUAAUUAUAUAUAUAUGUAUAAGAACAAAGUCGUCUUACCGCUAGUACGCCUCAUUCACGAAGCCGGUCUAUAAGGUGGGUAUAAGGUUGUUGCCUAUAAAAUGGUGACUUAAUGGGUGUCCACUCUCACCCACCGCUUGCUUGAUCGGUGGAGGGUCGUUAGCCGAACGGGUAAGACAAGGACUUAUUAAUUCUCAUUCAAAGUAUGAUGAAUAUUAUAAAGUAACUAAAUGUUUUAUUAAAUUCCCAAUCUUAGUUACUUUAGGAAAAAUGUGAAUAAGGUGCUAUUCCAUGAAAUUACACUUUACACUUUGAUUAAGUCGUUGGUGGAGCGUGUGUGGUUAACCGGCACACUAACUUGGACUUAACAAGGUAGGUAAAGGGUGACUUAGGGUUUAUUAUAGUAUCGAUGGAGCGUGUGUGGUUAACCGGCACAUCGAUUGAGUGAUAAACUUUAAGGGUACCAAGUGAUUUGCAUGGUUACUUCACACCUCGUUUUGUGAUCCUCGGUAUCCCAGUCACAAAACUUGGAGGGCACACUCGAGAUUGAAACAUGCCUUUGAAAAGUUCAUUGAAUCUCAAAGAAUCUAGGAAUUUCUAAGAACCAUUCAAAAACCUAAUACUAAAAUAUUGCGGUUUUCGUGGUGGAAAUUGGUGAAUCGUCAUUCACCUACCUUUCAAAUAUGAUAUAGCUUAGAUUACGGCAUACCUCUUCUAAGUUAUAUUAUAUUGUGAUUGGAUCCUAGCCUUAAUAUUACAUUUGGGUGUUUUAUUAAGGACUCUCUUAUAUCUAAACUAAUCUUGUCCUCUUUCCUUCAGAUGUCUUUCAACAAUGCUUCUGGCUCUAAUCCUAAUGGCUCCUUUACCCUUAUGAACUUGUGUGGGAAAGUCACCUUUGAUGGAUCCAACUUCAAUGAGUGGAUCAGAAACAUCAGGAUGAUUACCCGCUACGAGGACAAAGAAUAUGUCCUUGACAAGGAGCUUAAGGAGAUUGAUGAGUCCACUGCAACUCCUCAGGAGAUCGCUGAAUUUCGGGCACAUGAAAGGGAUGCUACGAAAGUGGCUUGCAUCAUGAUGGCCACGAUGACAGCGGAACUCCAAAAGUCUUAUGAGGAUUUCUACCCUUAUGACAUGCACCAAGAUUUGAUGGAAAGAUACCAUCAAAGUGCAAGACAAGAGAGGUAUGAAAUCAUCUGCUCCAUGAUAACAACCAUGAUGAAGGACGGGGAAUCCGUCACGAGCCACAUGCAGAAAAUGCAAAGGUAUGUGGAUCGUUUGCUGAAGCUUAAUGUGAACUUCCCGGAGGAUCUUGCAAUAGAUAUUAUUUUGCAUUCCUUACCAUCGUGCUAUGAUCAAUUCCGCAUGACAUAUCACAUGAACAAGGAAGAAGUCACCCUCAGCAAACUUCAGGGACUUCUCAAGACCGCAGAAACAGGUCUUAAGGGGAAGUCGGUUGCUAUCACUCCUACUCAAAACUCUACUCCGGUUUUGGCAAUCGGGAAAAGUCGAGGGAGGAAGAGAAAGAGCUCUUCUAAGGGUACCAAGGCUCGGACCCUUGAUGGCUCUUCUUCAAGUGGAACCAAGAAAGGUUUCGUUACUCCUUCUUCUGACCCAAAAGAGGCUGAAUGCUUCUAUUGCCAUGAAAAAGCUCAUUGGAAGCGGAACUGCCCAAAAUACCAGCAAGAUGUGAAGGAUGGGAAAGUUAAACCCAACCAUGCAGGUAUUUACACUAUCAUUUCUAAUAACUCACCCCAUUCUAAUUCUUGGGUCCUUGAUACCGGGUGUGGUAUUCACAUUUGUUGUGACUUGCAGGGACUAAGAAGAAGUGAGGAUGUGGAGCAAGGAAGGAUAAACUUGAUCAUGGGGAAUAGGAAAGCUAUACCUGUUACCAAGAUUGGAGUUUAUACUUUAUCGCUAAGUAGUGGGUUUAGUUUAGAUUUGAAUAAGUGUUGUUAUUCGCCAGGAAUGGCAAGAAAUAUUAUUUCCUUUCAUGCUUUGUACAAACAAGGGUUUACCUUUUCAUUUAAUAAUGAAGUUGGUUCUAUAGAUGUUUUCUAUAAUAAUGUCUUUUAUUUUAAAGCAUUACCUUGUGAUGGUGUGUAUGAAGCUGUAUCUGUUGUAGAUAACUUGGGAAAUAAUGUUUUGUGUAUUGAUUCUACUAAUAAUAACUUGGAUAAAGCAUCUUUAUGGCAUUGUCGUCUUGGACAUAUAAGCAAGAAACGCAUAGGCCAACUCCAAAAGGAUGGAGUCUUGGAGUCGUUUGACCUAAAGUCAGAUGAUAGUUGCGAAUCAUGCUUACUUGGAAAAAUGACAAAGUCACCCUUCACAGGUUCGUGUGAGAGGGGUGAAGGUUUGUUGGACCUUAUACACACGGAUGUGUGUGGACCAUUCAAACAUGCCACAAGGGAUGCUAAUCGUUAUUAUUUGACUUUUACUGAUGAUUAUAGUAGAUAUGGAUAUGUCUACUUGAUCAAGCAUAAGUCAGAGACUUUCGAGAGGUUUAAGGAAUUUAAACAGGAAGUCGAGAAUCAAUUGGGCAGGAACAUUAAGAUGCUUCGAUCCGAUCGUGGUGGUGAGUAUCUUAGUUCAGAGUUCCUCGACUAUCUAAGGGAAUGUGGGAUAGUCUCACAAUUGACACCUCCCAGGACACCACAGUUGAAUGGUGUGGCUGAGAGGCGUAAUCGAACCUUGUUAGAUAUGGUUCGUUCCAUGAUGAGUCGAGCUACGCUACCAAUCUCAUUCUGGGGGUAUGCCUUAGAGACUGCCGCCCAUAUUCUUAAUCUAGUCCCUACAAAGAAAGUUGCCAAAACUCCUCACGAGAUGUGGACUGGUAAAGUACCUAAACUAGACCACAUCAAGAUUUGGGGUUGCGAGGCUUUCGUGAGACGCGAGACUCAUGAUAAGCUCGAACCUCGAAGCGAGAGGUGUAUUUUCAUCGGUUACCCACAGCGAUCCUUUGGUUACCUCUUCUACAGACCUAGUGACAAUGUGGUCUUUGUAGCAAGAAGAGGAGUCUUUCGAGAAAGAGAGUUUAUAAGCCAAGGAGACAGUGGGAGGCAAAUUGAUCUUGAAGAAAUUCAAGAAUCAAGCGGUGAAGGAACUUCAAACUCUAGCCCUCAACUUGAGGAGGAAACUCCUGUUGAGCCAAUUGACAAAUCUGUACCUCUGAGACGUUCCACGAGAGUUAGGAGUGCACCUGAGCAUUACUAUGGAUUCCAUAUUACUGCAGAAGGUGAGACACUUAUUAGUGAUGAGACACUAGUAAGUCAAGAUGACCCUAACAGCUACGAGGAAGCCAUGGCAGGCCCCGAGUCUGCUAAAUGGAAAGAGGCUAUGGAUAGCGAGAUACAAUCCAUGUAUGACAAUCAAGUUUGGAACUUGGUUGAAAAUGUACCAGGUCGUAAGACAGUAGGGUGCAAAUGGGUCUUCAAGAAGAAGACCGACAUGGAUGGUAAAGUACACACUUAUAAGGCUAGACUGGUUGCAAAGGGCUUCUCUCAAAUUCCUGGAGUGGAUUAUGAUGAGACCUUUUCUCCGGUAGCCAAGAUUAAGUCUAUUCGGGUUCUGUUAGCCAUAGCUGCAUUUCAUGACUAUGAAAUAUGGCAGAUGGAUGUCAAAACCGCUUUCCUUAAUGGAAAGUUGGCUGAAGAUGUUUACAUGAGUCAGCCAGAGGGUUUUGUCAGCAACGAGUACCCUAAUAGAGUGUGUAAGCUUGAGAAAUCCAUUUAUGGAUUGAAGCAAGCACCUCGCAGAUGGAAUCUUUGCUUUGAUGAAAAGGUCAAGGAAUUUGGCUUUUCUAGGAGUGAAGAUGAAUCUUGUGUGUAUGUCAAGGCUAGUGGGAGUAUAGUUAGCUUUUUGGUAUUGUAUGUGGAUGACAUACUACUCAUAGGAAACGACAUUCCAACCCUGCAGGAAGUAAAGUCCUGGCUUGGGAAGUGUUUCGCUAUGAAGGACCUUGGUGAAGCUGCCUAUAUUCUAGGGAUAAGAAUCUUGAGAGAUCGGAGUAAAAGACUAAUUGGACUUAGUCAGAGUACCUACUUGGAUAAGGUGCUGAAGAGAUUCAGCAUGCAGGAUUCCAAGAAAGGAGAGUUACCCAUCCAGAGUAACACCAGAUUGAGUAAGACACAAAGCCCUAGCACUGAGGCUGAGAUAGCAGAAAUGAGUCGAACACCUUACGCUUCGGCUGUAGGAUCGAUCAUGUAUGCUAUGACGUGUACUCGACCCGAUGUAGCUUUUGCCUUGAGCAUGGUUAGCAGGUAUCAGGCGAACCCUGGCAAGGCACACUGGACUGCGGUAAAGAAUAUCCUCAAGUACCUACGGAGGACUAAGGACUGGGUCCUUACCCUCGGUGGGAGUGAUGACUUGAGAGUUGUAGGGUAUAGUGAUGCUAGCUUCCAGACUGAUAGGGAUAAUUUCCGCUCUCAGUCGGGCUGGGUCUUUACCCUAAACGGAGGAGCAAUUUCUUGGAAGAGUUCCAAGCAAGAGACAGUGGCAGAUUCUACUUGUGAAUCAGAGUAUAUUGCAGCUAGUGAAGCAGCAAAGGAGGCGAUAUGGCUGAAGAACUUCAUUGGAGACCUUGGAGUUGUACCAGCUAUUAAAGAGCCAAUGGAAAUUUUCUGUGAUAGUGAAAGUGCUGUUGCCUUAGCCAAGGAACCAAGGGAUCAUGGGAGAUCCAGACACAUCGACAGAAAAUACCAUUUCAUUAGACAUCGGAUCGAAGAAGGACUCCUCGUGGCAAAGAGGGUAUCAUCGGAUGAGAACCCAGCAGAUCCCCUCACGAAGGGACUGAGUAGGGUUAAGCAUCUCCAGCAUGCUCGGAGCAUAGGGCUGAAGGAUGAUAUAAGUUUUAGUAGUUAGAUAACCCAGAAAUUUGUAAAGUGUAAUUGACAUUUGAUGAUGAAUAAAAGGUGUUUUAUUUAUGAGUAAAGUGUUGCUAUCUCUUGUCGAUCGUUUACUAUAUUUCUUUUGCAUGUUUUGACUUCCAGAAUAAUUUUGUUUGGUAUAACAUAUUAUUCAAACCUCCACAGUCGGUCAUAUGUUGGAAGUAGAUAUGAAUCAAGACUGUCAUGUUUGGUUGUAGAGGUCUUGGACAAGGCUACAACAAUCAUGAGUGCUCAUAAGUUCUGAGCAUUGGACUCAACCCACGCUCACUGGAAUCACUUCAUGGAAUUCUAUCUCGAGUGAUCGUGAGACGGUAAUAUCAUAUAAGUCUUCAAACCUAGAGAUAUGAUUUGUUACUUACAAGUUGGUUAUGCAUUGACUGUACGAAACCGCAUUGGUAACUCGAUGUUAUAAAACGUACUUUUGUGUGUAAUUCAAUGAGUGGUAGAACAAACAUAUGAGUCGAAGUUUAUCUGUUCCUUCUUGGAUUAGAAGCUGAUAUCUGGGCCCCUCGAUGAUUUUGUUUUGACCCAUGUACCGGGCCCGGUCAGAACUAAGUUGAUGUGUUCAAUUAAGUUCUAUGUCAAACAAAUCGGAAAUCGGGAAACAAAUGCUGGACAAUAAGCAAGACAAUGUUCCAUGUAUUUGUCCGGCUGAUAUCUAGAACGGAGGAUUAUAUGAUCACUUAUCUUAAAUGGCGUACCAUCAUCUUCUCAGUUCCGAGAGACCUUGAAAGAGCUACGAUUGCCGGUCGGUUCCUGAAGUACUAGAGAUAUAGUUAUUAGACUUAUCCAAGUGGGAGACUGUUGGAUAAGGUGUCUAAGUCCAUAACUAUUUCUGGUAUGUACUUGACCCGACCCGGCAUGGUCCAUUUGGGUUGCAUGGCACCAUGCAAUUGGAUAGACUAAAUGAGAGAAAUAACACUUGGAGAUUAUUAAUAUAUUAUAAGUUCUAAUAUAUUAAUAAUAUUAUUUGAUUAGUUUGAUCAAUAAUUAAUUUAGAAUUAAUUAAGUGGUCAAAAGAUAACUAAUUAAAUAUAUGGGUUGAUUAUGUAAAUCAUCCAUAUCUUGUAUAGUGGGCUAAGAGGCUCCAUGGAUUAUCAAGUUGGGUUCUACCCAUAGGAUGCUCCAUGGAUGCUCCAUGGGAGUUACAAACCCAUGGGUCAUGGAAAUGAAGAGUCAUGACACAUUAGGGUUUACAUGGUGUAACCCUAGAUGUGUCAACACUAUAUAAGAAUCAUAUUCUCCACCAAAAUCGGGAACACUAAGAAACUAGAGGGCUUGGCCGAUUUUAAGAAGUGUGUAUUAUCUCAAGAGUCUUUCCAAGAGCAUUUGGUGUUGUGUGAAGCAUUUGAGGCAUCACACUUGGGGUGCUAGGCUCACAAGGUUUCAAGGAACACAAGCAACAACAAGGUAAGUUAUUCUAUCUAUUAUUCAAGUUAAAAUUGUUCCCCAUGUAUGCUAGAUAGGAAUAUAGCCUUGGAAUUCAACUUAGCAUGAUAAUUAGACAAACAUAGAUCCAAGGUUAUUAGGGUUGCAUGUACACUUAGGAAGUGUUAGAAUGCUCAAAACCCAUCAAUCUUCGGUGCCGACCAAUUCUCUAUCACCUUGAUUUUGGACGGGUCCACGUGUAUACCCUCCUUGCUUACCACGUGACCAAGGAAAGUUACCUUCCGAAUCCAGAAUUCGCACUUGGAGAAUUUCGCGUACAGCUUCUUCGCUUCUGGAAUAGACAAGUAUGUCGUCAAUGAACACGAUGAAGAACUUGUCUAGAAAUGGGCGACACACCCGGUCAUCAGAUCCAUGAACACUGCCGGUGCGUUGGUUAGACCGAAGGGCAUCACUACGAACUCGUAGUGACCAUAUCGAGUCCUGAAUGUUGUCUUGGAAACAUCAUUCUCGUGAACUCGUAACUGAUGGUACCCUGAUCUGAUGUCUAUCUUCGAGAAGUAGCUGGCUCCCUGAAGUUGAUUAAAAAGGUCGUCUAUUCGAGGAAGAGGAUAUCGGUUUUUGACGGUCAACUUAUUCAACUCGCGGUAGUCUAUACACAUCCAAAAGGAUCCAUCUUUCUUCUUCACAAAUAAUAUCGGGGCUCCUCAAGGUGAGGAACUCGGUCUGAUGAACCCUUUGUCGAGCAGCUCAUUGAGCUGACUGGAUAACUCCUACAUUUCUGCUGGAGCUAAGCAAUAUGGAGAUUUGGCCACAGGAUUUGCUCCAGGAAUUAGGUCGAUGCGAAACUUGACUUGGCGUUCGGGAGGAAUUCCUGGGAGCUCUUCGGGAAAGACAUAAGGAAAGUUGCAGACUUCGAGGAUGCUCUCGAGGUCUUUAACUUCCUGUUUCUCGUUGAUUACAUGAGCUAGGAAUGCGUAACACUCCUUUCGCAAGAGCUUUUGAGUUUUGAUGCAUGAAAUGAUGCGAAGAUUGGAACUAAGUUUAUCGCCAUAGAUCAUGAGAGUUUGGCCAGAGGGGAGAUUGAGACGGAUGGCUUUUUCAUAACAAAGAAUAUCAACAUCAUUGGGACUCAACCAAUCCAUGCCAAUAAUAACAUUAAAGCUCUUUAUGGAAACUGGCAUUAGGUCAAUGGGAAAAGACUGAUCGUUCAGGGUAAGGUUACAACCUAUGAAUAUAUCGUUAGCGUUUUCUUUCUCACCGUUAGCCAUCUCGACGGUAAAUGUUUCGAUUAAUGGUUGGGGAUUAUGUUUAAGAAGAUGUUUGAAUGAAUGGCUAACAAAACUUCUUUCAGCACCAUAAUCGAAAAGGAUACUAGCAUAAGAGUUGUCGAGAAGGAACGUACCUGAGACAACGGUGGGAUCGGCAACUGCUUCAUCUCGUCCCAUAGUUAGAACUCUCCCGGUGUUUCCAGUUGUUGCUGCUUUGGGGCAGUUUCGCUUGAAAUGCCCAACACCCGUUCCAGAAGCUUGACUGGUUGAUUGGGCUAGGUUUGUGCAGUUUCAAGCAAUGUGCCGCUUCUUGCCACAGUUGUUGCAGAGCUUUUCACGACAAGGCCCGGGAGUACGAUGGCGGUAACUGCACUUGCCGCACCAGGGGAGGGUACCAGUGUAUCCACUGGUAGGAGUUUGAGUUGUAGGAUCUAGGGGAGGGGUUGUAACAGCGUGAACUGCCACAGUUUGCUGUUUCUUCGAGGAUCCCUGCGAAUCCUGACCCUUCCGUUUCUUCCAGAAUUUCUUUUUAUUUUCACCACUCCCUUUAGCCGGUUCGGGAGCGGUGGCCACCUCUUCGAGAUCGUCACCAUGAUCAAUCAGAGUUUGCGCCAAGCAUUUGAUGGGUUUUGAGCAUUCUAACACUUCCUAAGUGUACAUGCAACCCUAAUAACCUUGAAUCUAUGUUUUCUCUAUAUACAUGCAAAUUUAUUUUUCAAGGUUAUUUCCUAACAAGCAUGGCAUGGGGAAUAAAUAAAAUAUAAAACUAGUAGAAAUACAUACCUUGAUGUUGCUUGGAUUCCUUCAAGACUUUGUGAGCCUAGCACCCCAAAUGUUGUGCCUCAAAUGCUUCACACAACACCACAAAACUUGGAAUAACUUGAGAGAAUACUUCUAGCACUCAAAAUCGGUUAUGCCCUCUCUAGUAACACUAGGUGCCGAUUUUGCUAGCCAAAGGGUUCCUUUUAUUAUGGUGUCACAAUUAGGGUUUCAUUAAGAAGACCCAUAAUUGUCAUGACUCUUCAUUUCUCAUGACCCAUGGGUUUGUAACUCCUAUGGACUAUCCAUGGAGCUCCAAAUGGUUACAUCCAUAACCCAUAAACCAUGGAUCAUUAAUCCACCAUAAAAGAAUUGAUGAUUGUCAUAAUCAACCCUAUAUAUUUAAUUAGUCUCACUUUGAUCACCAAAUUAAUACUAGAUUAAUACUUGAUCAAUACUAAUUAAAUAACACUAUUAUUAAUAUAUUAGAACUUAUAAUAUAUUAAUAAUCAUAAGUGCCAUAUUCUCUCAUUUAGUCUAUCCAAGUAUUGCAAUGCCAUGCAACCCAAAUGGACCAUGUCGGGUCGGGUCAAGUACAUACCAAAUAAAGUUAUGGACUUAGACACUAUAUCCAACAGUCUCCCACUUGGAUAAGUCUAAUAACUAUAUUUGCAAAUAUGACUUCAAAAUCCGACUAGCAAUCGUAGCUCUUUCAAAGUCUCUCGGAACUGAGAUGAUGAUGAUACGCCAUUUAAGAUAAGUGAUCAUAUAAUCCUCUGCUCUCAUGAUAUCAGCCGGACAAACACAUGGAACAUGGUCUUACUUAUUGUCCAGCAUUUGUUUCUCGAUCUCCGAUUUGUUUCGACAUAGAACUAAAUUGAACACAUCAAUUAGGUUCUGACCGGGCCCGGUACAUAGGUCAAAACCAAAUCAUCGAGGGGCCCAGAUAUCGCUUCUAUUUCUAGAAGGAACAGAUAAACUUCGACUGAUAUGCUUGUACUAACUACUUGUUGAAUUACUCACAAAGGCACGUUUUAUAACAUCGAGUUACCAAUGCGUUUUCGUACAAUCAAUGAAUAACCAACUCAUAGUCAACAACUCAUAUCUCUAGGUUUGAAGAUUUAUAUGAUAUUACCGUCUCACGAUCACUCGAGAUAAAUUCCAUGAAGUGAUGCAAGUGAGCGUGGGUUGAAUCCAAUACUCAGCCCUUAUGAGUACUCAUGAAUGUUGUAGCAACCAUUGCAUUGUCUAAAGCACUUUAGACAAAUCAUACAAGCCAAAUUCAUGACAGUCUUGAAUCAAUACUUACUUCCAAAGUUUGACCGACUGUGGAUGGUUUGAAUAAUAUGAUAUAUACCAUAACAUAAUUAUUCUGGAAGUAAAAACAUGCAAAAUUGAAACAUAGUAAACAAUCAACACAAGAUAGUAACACCUUACUCAUAAAUAAAUAACAACUUUUAUUUAUCAUCAAAUGUCAAUUACAUUUUACAAGUUUCAGGAAUCUAAUUAUUGAAACUAAUAUCAUCCUUCAGCCCAAUGCGCCUUGCAUGCUGUAAAUGCUUAACCCUGCUCAGUCCCUUCGUGAGGGGAUCUGCCGGGUUCUCAUCUGAUGAUACCCUCUUUGCCACGAGGAGUCCUUCUUCUAUUCUAUGUCUGAUGAAAUGGUAUUUUCUGUCAAUGUGCCUAGAUCUCCCGUGAUCUCUUGGUUCUUUCGCCAAAGCAACCGCACUUUCACUGUCACAGAAAAUUUCCAUUGGCUCCUUUAUAGCUGGUACAACUCCAAGGUCUCCGAUGAAGUUCUUUAGCCAUAUCGCCUCUUUUGCUGCCUCGCUUGCUGCUAUGUACUCUGAUUCACAAGUCGAAUCAGCUACUGUCUCCUGCUUGGAACUUUUCCAAGUAAUUGCUCCUCCAUUUAGGAUAAAGACCCAGCCUGACUGAGAGCGGAAAUUAUCCCUAUCAGUUUGAAAGCUAGCAUCACUAUAUCCUUCCACUCUCAAGUCAUCACUGCCUCCGAGGGUAAGGACCCAGUCCUUAGUCCUCCGCAAAUACUUGAGAAUGUUCUUUACCGCUGUCCAGUGUGCCUUGCCAGGGUUCCCUUGAUAUCUACUGACCAUGCUCAAAGCAAAGGCCACAUCAGGGCGAGUACAAGUCAUAGCAUACAUGAUCGAGCCCACAGCGGAAGCAUAUGGUAUUUGACUCAUUUCAGCUAUCUCAGCCUCUGUACUCGGACUCUGAGUCUUACUUAGCUUGGCAUUACUCUGGAUUGGUAAUUCUCCUUUCUUGGAAUCUUGCAUACUGAACCUCUUCAGUACCUUAUCCACAUAAGUACUUUGACUAAGUCCAAUUAGUCUCUUACUCCUAUCUCUCAAUAUCCUUAUCCCUAGGAUAUAGGCAGCUUCCCCAAGGUCCUUCAUAGCAAAACACUUCCCAAGCCAGGCCUUAACCUCCUGCAAAGUUGGGAUGUCGUUUCCUAUGAGAAGUAUGUCAUCCACAUACAACACCAAGAAGCUAACUAUGCUCCCACUAGCCCUGACAUACACACAAGACUCAUCCUCACUCCUAGAAAAGCCAAACUCUUUGACUUUCUCAUCAAAGCAAAGAUUCCACCUGCGAGAUGCUUGUUUCAAUCCAUAAAUGGAUUUUUCAAGCUUACACACUCUAUUAGGGUAUUUUGGAUCGACAAAACCCUCUGGCUGAGCCAUGUAAACAUCCUCAGCCAACUUCCCAUUAAGGAAAGCGGUUUUGACAUCCAUUUGCCAUAUUUCAUAGUCAUGAAAUGCAGCUAUGGCUAACAACACUCUAAUAGACUUAAUCUUAGCUACUGGUGAGAAGGUCUCAUCAUAGUCAACUCCCGGAGUUUGAGUAAAGCCCUUCGCAACCAGUCGCGCUUUAUAAGUGUGUACUUUCCCAUCCAUGUCGGUCUUCUUCUUGAAGAUCCAUUUGCACCCAACUGUCUUACGACCUGGUACAUUGUCAACCAAGUUCCAAACUUGAUUGUCAUACAUGGACUGAAUCUCGCUGUCCAUAGCCUCCUUCCAUUUCGCAGACUCAGGGCCUGCCAUGGCUUCCUUAUAAUUAUUAGGUUCAUCCAAAUCUAUCAGUGUACUAUCACUGAUAAAUGUAUCACCUUCAGUGGUGAUGUGAUAACCAUAAUAAAAUUCAGGUGUGUUCCUCACCCUAGUGGAACGUCUUGGAGGUACAGACUCAUCUAUCGGCUCAACAGGAGUUUCCUCCUCAGGUUGGCUGACAGCAUUUGAGGUUCCUUCACCACUUGACUCUUGAAGCUCUUCAAGGUCAAUUUGCCUCCCACUGUCCCCUUGGCUUAUGAAUUCUCUCUCACGAAAGACUCCUCUUCUUGCUACAAAGACCACAUUGUCACUGGGUCUGUAGAAGAGGUAACCAAAGGAUCUCUGUGGGUAGCCGAUGAAAAUACACCUCUCGCUUCGGGGCUCAAGCUUGUCAUGAGUCUCACGCCUCACAAAAGCUUCACAACCCCAAAUCUUGAUGUGGUCCAAAUUGGGAACUUUCCCAGUCCAUAUCACGUGAGGUGUUUUGGCAACCUUUUUAGUAGGGACUAGAUUAAGGAUAUUGGCGACAGUCUUUAAGGCAUACCCCCAGAAAGAGAUUGGUAACGAAGGUCGACUCAUCAUGGAAUGAACCAUAUCCAACAGGGUUCGAUUGCGCCUCUCAGCUACACCAUUCAACUGUGGUGUCCUGGGAGGUGUCAAUUGUGAGACAAUCCCCCAUUCCUUAAGAUAGUCAAGGAACUCAAUGCUAAGAUACUCUCCUCCCCAAUCGGAUCGGAGCAUCUUGAUGUUCCUGCCCAAUUGAUUCUCAACUUCCUGCUUAAACUCUUUGAACUUUUCAAAGGUUUCUGACUUAUGCUUGAUUAAGUAAAUAUAUCCAUAUCUACUGUAAUCAUCAGUAAAAGUCACAUAAUAACGAUUAGCAUCCCUUGUAGCAACUCUGAAGGGCCCACACACAUCCGUGUGUACAAGGUCCAACAAACCUUCACCCCUAUCACAAGUACCUGUGAAGGGUGACUUUGUCAUUUUUCCAAGUAAACAAGACUCGCAACUAUCAUCUGACUUGAGGUCAAAUGAUUCCAAGACUCCAGCCUUUUGGAGUUGGCCUAUGCGCUUCUUGUUAACAUGUCCAAGACGACAAUGCCACAAGGAUGCUUUAUCCAAGCUAUCAGAAGAAUCAAUAUACAACACAUUAUUUCCUAAAUUGUCUACAACAUUCACAGCUUCAUAUACACCAUCACAAGGUAUUGCUUUAAAGUAAAAUACAUCAUUGUAAUAAACAUUAAUAGCACCAUUUUUAUUAUCAAAUGAAAAUGUAAAACCUUGUUUGUACAAGCCAUGAAAAGAAAUAAUAUUUCUCGCCAUUUCGGGCGAGUAACAACACUUAUUCAAAUCUAACAUUAACCCAUUAUUAAGCAAUAAAGAAUAAACUCCUAUCUUGGUAACAGGUGAUGCUUUCCUGUUGCCCAUGACUAAGUUUAUCUUCCCGUGCUCCACUUGCUCACUUCUUCUUAGUGCCUGCAAAUCAGUACAAAUGUGAAUACCACACCCUGUAUCAAGCACCCAAGAAUUAGCAUUAGAUGAGUUGUUAGACAAUAUUGUGUAAAUACCUGCAUGGGUGGGUUUAACCUUCCCAUCCUUUACAUCUUGCAGAUAUUUGGCGCAGCUUCGCUUGAAGUGUCCCUUAUCCUGGCAAUAGAAGCACUGUGCUUCCUUUGGGUUCGAAGAAGGAGUAAUGGGACCUUUCUUUGUCCCACUUGAAGAGGAACCAUCAAGAGUCUUACCCUUGGUACCCUUUGAAGGGCUUUUCCUCUUCUUACCCUUCCCUUGCCCAAUUGCAAGAACAGGGGCUGUUAAAGGAGUAGAAGUAGCAACCGCUUUACCCUUAAGGCCAUUUUCAGCUGUCCUUAAGAGUCCUUGAAGUUUGCUAAGUGUGACUUCCUCCUUGUUCAUAUGAUAAGUCAUACGAAACGGAUCAUAACUUGGAGGUAAGGAAUGGAGAAUGAUGUCAAUCGCCAAUUCCUCAGGGAAGUCAUCAUUGAGCUUUAGCAACCGGGCAACGAACCUCUACAUCUUCUACAAGUGACCGGUGAUGGGUUCACCAUCCUUCAUCCUCGCGGUUAUCAAGGAGGAAAUGAUUUCAUACCUCUCUUGACUCGUGCUCUGAUGGUACCUUUCCAUCAGAUCUAGGUGCAUCUCAUAGGGGUAGAAAUCUUCAUAAGAUUUUUGUAGUUUCAGAGUCAUUAUGGCCAUCAUGAUGCAGGACACCUUGGUGGCAUCCUNNNNNNNNNNNNNNNNNNNNNNNNNNNNNNNNNNNNNNNNNNNNNNNNNNNNNNNNNNNNNNNNNNNNNNNNNNNNNNNNNNNNNNNNNNNNNNNNNNNNUGUCCAUAGCCUCCUUCCAUUUCGUAGACUCAGGGCCUGCCAUGGAUUCCUUAUAAUUAUUAGGUUCAUCCUAAUCUAUCAGUGUACUAUCACUGAUAAAUGUAUCACCUUCAAUGGUGAUGUGAUAACCAUAAUAAAAUUCAGGUGUGUCCUCACCCUAGUGGAACGUCUUGGAGGUACAGACUCAUCUAUCGGCUCAACAGGAGUUUCCUCCUCAGGUUGGCUGAUAGCAUUUGAGGUUCCUUCACCACUUGACUCUUGAAGCUCUUCAAGGUCAAUUUGCCUCCCACUGUCCCCUUGGCUUAUGAAUUCUCUCUCACGAAAGACUCCUCUUCUUGCUACAAAGACCACAUUGUCACUGGGUCUGUAGAAGAGGUAACCAAAGGAUCUCUGUGGGUAGCCGAUGAAAAUACACCUCUCGCUUCGGGGUUCAAGCUUAUCAUGAGUCUCGCGUCUCACGAAAGCCUCGCAACCCCAAAUCUUGAUGUGGUCUAGUUUAGGUACUUUACCAGUCCACAUCUCGUGAGGAGUUUUGGCAACUUUCUUUGUAGGGACUAGAUUAAGAAUAUGGGCGGCAGUCUCUAAGGCAUACCCCCAGAAUGAGAUUGGUAGCGUAGCUCGACUCAUCAUGGAACGAACCAUAUCCAACAAGGUUCGAUUACGCCUCUCAGCCACACCAUUCAACUGUGGUGUCCUGGGAGGUGUCAAUUGUGAGACAAUCCCACAUUCCCUAAGAUAGUCGAGGAACUCUGAACUAAGAUACUCACCACCACGAUCGGAUCGAAGCAUCUUAAUGUUCCUGCCCAAUUGAUUCUCGACUUCCUGUUUAAAUUCCUUAAACCUCUCGAAAGUCUCUGACUUAUGCUUGAUCAAGUAGACAUAUCCAUAUCUACUAUAAUCAUCAGUAAAAGUCAAAUAAUAACGAUUAGCAUCCCUUGUGGCAUGUUUGAAUGGUCCACACACAUCCGUGUGUAUAAGGUCCAACAAACCUUCACCCCUCUCACACGAACCUGUGAAGGGUGACUUUGUCAUUUUUCCAAGUAAGCAUGAUUCGCAACUAUCAUCUGACUUUAGGUCAAACGACUCCAAGACUCCAUCCUUUUGGAGUUGGCCUAUGCGUUUCUUGCUUAUAUGUCCAAGACGACAAUGCCAUAAUGAUGCUUUAUCCAAGUUAUUAUUAGUAGAAUCAAUACACAAAACAUUAUUUCCCAAGUUAUCUACAACAGAUACAGCUUCAUACACACCAUCACAAGGUAAUGCUUUAAAAUAAAAGACAUUAUUAUAGAAAACAUCUAUAGAACCAACUUCAUUAUUAAAUGAAAAGGUAAACCCUUGUUUGUACAAAGCAUGAAAGGAAAUAAUAUUUCUUGCCAUUCCUGGCGAAUAACAACACUUAUUCAAAUCUAAACUAAACCCACUACUUAGCGAUAAAGUAUAAACUCCAAUCUUGGUAACAGGUAUAGCUUUCCUAUUCCCCAUGAUCAAGUUUAUCCUUCCUUGCUCCACAUCCUCACUUCUUCUUAGUCCCUGCAAGUCACAACAAAUGUGAAUACCACACCCGGUAUCAAGGACCCAAGAAUUAGAAUGGGGUGAGUUAUUAGAAAUGAUAGUGUAAAUACCUGCAUGGUUGGGUUUAACUUUCCCAUCCUUCACAUCUUGCUGGUAUUUUGGGCAGUUCCGCUUCCAAUGAGCUUUUUCAUGGCAAUAGAAGCAUUCAGCCUCUUUUGGGUCAGAAGAAGGAGUAAUGAAACCUUUCUUGGUUCCACUUGAAGAAGAGCCAUCAAGGGUCCGAGCCUUGGUACCCUUAGAAGAGCUCUUUCUCUUCCUCCCUCGACUUUUCCCGAUUGCCAAAACCGGAGUAGAGUUUUGAGUAGGAGUGAUAGCAACCGACUUCCCCUUAAGACCUGUUUCUGCGGUCUUGAGAAGUCCCUGAAGUUUGCUGAGGGUGACUUCUUCCUUGUUCAUGUGAUAUGUCAUGCGGAAUUGAUCAUAGCACGAUGGUAAGGAAUGCAAAAUAAUAUCUAUUGCAAGAUCCUCCGGGAAGUUCACAUUAAGCUUCAGCAAACGAUCCACAUACCUUUGCAUUUUCUGCAUGUGGCUCGUGACGGAUUCCCCGUCCUUCAUCAUGGUUGUUAUCAUGGAGCAGAUGAUUUCAUACCUCUCUUGUCUUGCACUUUGAUGGUAUCUUUCCAUCAAAUCUUGGUGCAUGUCAUAAGGGUAGAAAUCCUCAUAAGACUUUUGGAGUUCCGCUGUCAUCGUGGCCAUCAUGAUGCAAGCCACUUUCGUAGCAUCCCUUUCAUGUGCCCGAAAUUCAGCGAUCUCCUGAGGAGUUGCAGUGGACUCAUCAAUCUCCUUAAGCUCCUUGUCAAGGACAUAUUCUUUGUCCUCGUAGCGGGUAAUCAUCCUGAUGUUUCUGAUCCACUCAUUGAAGUUGGAUCCAUCAAAGGUGACUUUCCCACACAAGUUCAUAAGGGUAAAGGAGCCAUUAGGAUUAGAGCCAGAAGCAUUGUUGAAAGACAUCUGAAGGAAAGAGGACAAGAUUAGUUUAGAUAUAAGAGAGUCCUUAAUAAAACACCCAAAUGUAAUAUUAAGGCUAGGAUCCAAUCACAAUAUAAUAUAACUUAGAAGAGGUAUGCCGUAAUCUAAGCUAUAUCAUAUUUGAAAGGUAGGUGAAUGACGAUUCACCAAUUUCCACCACGAAAACCGCAAUAUUUUAGUAUUAGGUUUUUGAAUGGUUCUUAGAAAUUCCUAGAUUCUUUGAGAUUCAAUGAACUUUUCAAAGGCAUGUUUCAAUCUCGAGUGUGCCCUCCAAGUUUUGUGACUGGGAUACCGAGGAUCACAAAACGAGGUGUGAAGUAACCAUGCAAAUCACUUGGUACCCUUAAAGUUUAUCACUCAAUCGAUGUGCCGGUUAACCACACACGCUCCAUCGAUACUAUAAUAAACCCUAAGUCACCCUUUACCUACCUUGUUAAGUCCAAGUUAGUGUGCCGGUUAACCACACACGCUCCACCAACGACUUAAUCAAAGUGUAAAGUGUAAUUUCAUGGAAUAGCACCUUAUUCACAUUUUUCCUAAAGUAACUAAGAUUGGGAAUUUAAUAAAACAUUUAGUUACUUUAUAAUAUUCAUCAUACUUUGAAUGAGAAUUAAUAAGUCCUUGUCUUACCCGUUCGGCUAACGACCCUCCACCGAUCAAGCAAGCGGUGGGUGAGAGUGGACACCCAUUAAGUCACCAUUUUAUAGGCAACAACCUUAUACCCACCUUAUAGACCGGCUUCGUGAAUGAGGCGUACUAGCGGUAAGACGACUUUGUUCUUAUACAUAUAUAUAUAAUUAUUAAAUCAUAAUAAUAUAAGUAUAAGGGUUGAAUUUUAACUUUUAAAAUUCUAGGGGUUGGAACUAAAGUUUUAACUUAACUUUACUUGUUCCAAAACUUGAGGGCAAGUUUUGUAAACUUUCAAAACUUUUCAUUUCUUGUAACUUAUGAGUUUAAUAGAGUAAUAAAAUGAGGACUUUUCAUUUUUCCUAACUCUUGUGUUCUUUUAAUGGUUUUUAAUCCAAGAGACUUUUGGUUUUCCAUAACUUGAGGACAAGUUAUGGACUCCAUUAAAACACAUUAUGAUCAUGAAUUAAUCUACCACAUAGGUUACAAAUAAUUCCUAUGAUCAUCUAAACAUCAUAAGAACAAGAAUAUGAAUAUGAACACUUUCAAGAAUCAAAAUCACAUUUAAUCUUUGUAAUUUUGAUAACUAGUUGUUGUAAAUGAGUUAGAAAAGACAUUACACCUUCUAAAAUAAGUUUUCAAGUACCAAAACAUUUUAGGGUAAUGAUUCUAAUCCAUUUCCAGCAACUCAAGUCGAAAUUCUGCACUCUGUCGACCCUACUCGCCGAGUGCAUAAACCUACUCGCCGAGUAGGUUGAAGAUACACAUGAACUCGACGAGUCCUCCCCAUGGACUCGCCGAGUCCAUCAGUCAGACAGCAGAAUUUUCGACUUUCUUCAACUUUUAAGCACAAAUAACAAACAAACAAGCCUAGGCUCUGAUACCACUGAUGGGUUUUGAGCAUUCUAACACUUCCUAAGUGUACAUGCAACCCUAAUAACCUUGAAUCUAUGUUUUCUCUAUAUACAUGCAAAUUUCUUUUUCAAGGUUAUUUCCUAACUAGCAUGGCAUGGGGAAUAAAUAAAAUAUAAAACUAGUAGAAAUACAUACCUUGAUGUUGCUUGGAUUCCUUCAAGACUUUGUGAGCCUAGCACCCCAAAUGUUGUGCCUCAAAUGCUUCACACAACACCACAAAACUUGGAAUAACUUGAGAGAAUACUUCUAGCACUCAAAAUCGGUUAUGCCCUCUCUAGUAACACUAGGUCCCGAUUUUGCUAGCCAAAGGGUUCCUUUUAUAGUGGUGUCACAAUUAGGGUUUCAUUAAGAAGACCCAUAAUUGUCAUGACUCUUCAUUUCUCAUGACCCAUGGGUUUGUAACUCCCAUGGACUAUCCAUGGAGCUCCAAAUGGUUACAUCCAUAACCCAUAAACCAUGAAUCAUUAAUCCACCAUAAAAGAAUUGAUGAUUGUCAUAAUCAACCCUAUAUAUUUAAUUAGUCUCACUUUGAUCACCAAAUUAAUACUAGAUUAAUACUUGAUCAAUACUAAUUAAAUAACACUAUUAUUAAUAUAUUAGAACUUAUAAUAUAUUAAUAAUCAUAAGUGCCAUAUUCUCACAUUUAGUCUAUCCAAGUAUUGCAAUGCCAUGCAACCCAAAUGGACCAUGCCGGGUUAGGUCAAGUACAUACCAAAUAAAGUUAUGGACUUAGACACUAUAUCCAACAACAUUUAGCGCUGUUGAAUGUGUUUGGCUUCACAGCCAAAACAUUUCCCUUGGUUGGCUGGGUCAACCCCCAAAUGAAUCUUUCAACCUUUUUACUUUCCAGGGUAACCAUUCCCGUAUAGAGAAGCGCUAAGUCUUCAAAUCUGGAGGUGUAAGCGGUGAUAUCGAAACCCUUCAUCUUUAGGUUCCAGAGUUCGUGCUCUAGCUUCUGCAUUUCGCCCCGUGGGCAGUACUCUGCAAGCAGAAGCUCCUUCAUGCUCUCCGAACCCAUUGCAUUGGCUACAGGCAGAGUUAAGGAUUUGACUCGGCCAUUCCACCAAGUCAGGGCUUUAUCGGUGAAAGUACAGGUGGCGAACUUCACCUUAUCAGAUUCUGAACAAGCACAAAUUUCGUAAAUAGAUUCAAUUUUCUUGAACCAUCAAGUUAGGGCAAUGACACCUCUAGUGCCAUUGAAGGGUGUGGGUUUUGCGUUCAUAAAGUCUUUGUAGGAACAUUCUUUUCGGUGUCCCUGACCACCUUCUUGGUUUUGAGGCUGAGUACCACCUCCUGGCCCGCCUGAACCACCGGGGUUCAUUUGUGACAUAGCAGCAACCACUACAGCAGUAACAACUGCUUGGAACAUAGCGGGAUCAAAUGGAGAGGGAGGUGAUGGUGGAGGAGGAUUGUUGUUCUUUAAGCUGGGUCUUUUCUUUGGAGGCAUAUUUAUCUAAAAUGAUCAGUAAAGAGAAGAUGGUAAGUCCUCUAAAUGGAAUCAAGAGAUAUGAAACAAGAUAUAUCUCAUUAUGGCAGAUAUAAUGAUCUACUAAGCGAUAAAACAGGAAGGAGUUAUCAAAGCAGGUAAACUAUCGCUAAGGAAAGAAUGAUUAGCAACACUCGGAAUGAAUUUCUACAACGUAUUCGACUUUGGCUAAAAUACUCCUAUAGUAUUCUAUGGUUUGCUGCGACGAUGACUCGUUGUUUGGAUAUUUGGUAAGUUUUAGGCAUGCUACAUACCAUAGUCACUCCCAAGCACGUGUUGGCCGUGUCUCGAAUGAAUAUAGUUGAUCAAGCUAUAUUGACCCUAGACACGACUACAUAACUGCCCAGGUUUAACCACAGCGUACACCACCCAAUUACUUAUUGUCACACCCCCAAACUGGAACGGCGGAAACGUUUGGGGGCGGAUGACUUCAUGUGGUAACGUAACAAAUGAAUACAUAGUAAAGAAAGUAAUACAACCAUCAUAUAUAUAAUUGAAAGUUUACAUUGUUAAAAGGUACAUGUUCAAAACCAAUUACAAUAUGAUGCCAAAAUAUGAAUUUAAACUGGCGCCGCAGCGUCCCUUCUUCAAAAGCUGUUUGUUACCUGUAAUUACUGAAUCCCUAGGACAAUCAAGUAGUUUUGAAAGAGUAGAUCAACAUUUAAGCUGGUGAGUUUCAUAAGUAUUAAAUGACAAUGUUUGUAUGAAAUGAAAUGUUUUGUUCUUGUUUGUUUGCUUCUAGAAAAUCCUAUAUUUUCUACUAGUAUAAAUGUAGCCUUCUCUCAAGACCAAUGUUUGUUUCUAAAAAUGUAUGUAAGUAUAAAAUUUCCAAUACGUCUGAAAAACCCCGUAAAUCAAUGUGUUUUCAAUACUCCAUGUGAGUUUUAUAACCAUGCUAUUGACUAGAAAUGCCUAUACACAACGUUCUUCAGGCGUUGGAAUGUUCUGACGUUUGUCACCCCAAAUGGUGGACUGUAGCUAACAGUCAGGGCGCGGGUUGUCAAGCCCGUAUAGAUCUAUACACAAACACCAUGCUCCCCCUCCAAGGGAUUCUGGUAUAUAAUAUAGGACUUGAAAUGCGUACUCGAACGUACGUGAAGUUGAUGUCUCACAAAACUUAGUAUAAAAAAAACAGAUUUACGUGUGAAAAUGUUUGUAUAAAUGAUCAUCCCCUAAGACUGGGAUAGCUAUGAAAAACGACGUGAAAUCUUUAGAUAUGCAUUUGACAAUAUUUUACCCUUUGCUCAACAGGAUACAAAUGGAGUAGAGUUUCGUAACAUAUAUAUGUAUAUUUUUGAUGUAGAAGACAAGUUUGUAAACAAAACAUAUAUAUGUAUAUUUUUGAUGUAGAAGACAAGUUUGUAAACAAAACAUAUAUAUGUAUAUGGUUAUAUAUAUGUAUAAAUUUUAAAAGAUGAUUUGGUAUGUUUCGUAAUUGUUGUUCAUAUUCUUACGUUUUUAUUAGAAACUUUGCAUGAAAUAAUCCUUAAGUUUGAUACUAAAGACCUUUUUGUACUUAUCACUUUUGUAAAAAUGGUAAUUAAACAUAUUUAAAUGAUUGUGUUUUAACUUCCUUAAUGUAUAAACAUUGCUCAAAAAUGUUAGAAGGUGUUAAUAAAUCUAUAAACCACUUUUGACAGUUUUACCCUUUACUGUCCCUGUUUUUAGAAAACUCAUAGAAAAAUCCUCGUAAGUCAAAAACUGAAUCCGUCACCUCUGAGAGUUUAUAAAAUGAGUCUACUUUGUUCCUAAUUUUUAUUAUGAUUUUUAGUGGUCUCAAACUAGUGUGAAAAUGAACAUCUUCACAGACUGGUCCGAAAUCACUUCUGAAAUGACAGGCAGUUUUAUAAAAAUCGCCAUAAAUUGUAGAAAAAUCGUAUGAACGCGUGCGAGUAGUCAUUAGAAAGGUAUAAACUUGAACUAUUUGCAUAUUGUACAGUUUUGAAAGAUAUUAAGUUUAAGAUGGUCAAAACAGUCCGUGAACAGGACUCAACUUUUCUGUAGAAAGCUGUCAUUUAAAUUUAAGUUAUGUUUAGUGUUCUAACUUGUAUUCCCCCCCUUAAAACUUGAAUAAAACAUGAAAAUGUAGGGGUAUGAACUCACCUUAUGUGAAUACUUGAAGAAUGGAAAGUUGAAGAUGAACUUUUGGUUGUUGGUUUGAUGCUCCAAAACAGCCACUCUUUUGGCUAUGUUGCUGUCACGAAAAUUUCACAGCAAAAGUGCAAGAAAAAGGGUAGUUUACUCACUGUUUUGAAUCAAUAAUUUUGAGUAUCAAAACAAGUAACUUCCAGGGGUAUUUGGUGGUAAAAAUAUCAAGCAAAAGGAAGGUGUAGAUGGGUGAAAUGGUGGCUGAAACACAAAAGGGACAGCAACCCUUUAGUUCAUGGUUUUGAUGGCUUUGGAAGGAAGUUCUUGUGCUUGAAAAUGAGAUGAAGGUUGAGAGUAAUUACUUGGAGUAUUGGCUGGUCAAAUGAGGGUAAAAUGAAGAGGAAAUUUCGUGGUUAUGAAGGAGGAAAGGGUGGAAGAGGAUAAGGGGACAAAACCUAGACUAGCUUGUGAUGGGAUGUGAGUUUAAGUGAUGUGAUCUUGUCUAGCCACUUGCUUGGGUGGUUGUUUAGAGAUAGAGUUAGUUAACUAACUAACUACUAGUUAUUUAGUUAGUUAGGAGUUCUAGUUAAGGAGAGGGAAGGUCUUAAUCUCGAAAAUUAGAAGAGGGAUUAAUAAGCAUUCUUAGUAAAAUGUCUUAAGUGAUUAAGCACUUAUUAGUUAAGUUGGCACUUAUCUCCACCAAUUCUCUUAUCUUAAUUGAUUUAGACAUCAUAAAACUUACAUGAAAUCACUUUAAGUCAUGACCCAUAACUAGUCAUUCACUAGAUAAUAAUACAUAUAUACAAAUACAUACAUGUAUACUUAGUAUAAAAUAACAAUGUAGUUUUUGUGUAUUUGAACUUUAAUGUUUAUGUUUUAUUCUUUUUAUUCAAAAACACUUAAAUACAUUUUAAUUAUACCUUAUAAUAAUUCAUUUUAUAUUUUAAUUUAUUUAAAUAUAAAAUUUAUUGAGCAAUGUAUAAUUUCAUGACAUUUAACCGGUUAACCAUAUCGUUAAACACGUUUUGUCACUUUGGUUCGUAUAUUUGUCAAAUUUAGAUCCUUCACAUCUAUUAAGCAAACGUUUUACAUAGAACCUAACUUACUUAUCAACUAGAGACAUGUUGAUACAAAAAUUAAGUUUGUUGCGUUUAAAUGAUGUUAUAUGCUAAUUUCACAAACCGGUGAUGGUUCGUAGUCAUACAUCAUAACGAAAUUUAUCAAUAGUUACUUGUUUUAUAUUUCACAAUAACUUAUUUAAAUAAAAGAGGUUAAAUUCCUUCGACCAUUCUUAAUAAAAUACUCAUAUUGCUUAAUAAUCAAAACAUAGCAUCGCACGAUCAUUCCUAUUUUUACCAAUUAUUACACUUAUGUUUUGUUCUACUCGUAGUUAUAGUUUCUGGUGGUUCGGUAUUCUUGUAUACUUUUGAAAAAUACUUAUAUUUUAAAGUAUACUUUUAGUUCAGAGCACUUCGGCCCCUUAGUGUUUAUAGUUAUAUACCAUGUAGGGUUCGGUAUACUUAGUUCACUAUAAACAAGGGCUCUGAUACCAAUUUGUCACACCCCGAAACCGAUGGCGGAAACAUUCCGGGGCGGAGGACGUCAUGUAAAGUAUCACAACCAAUGUACAUAGUAAGCAUAGUAAACACAACCAAUACAUUACAUAGGAAUAUUUACAUUUGUUUGAAAGUAAAGCAAUACAGUUUUACAUGUACAUUAGUAUAACAAAAGUAAAGAUGAGACUGCUAAAAUGCUCCGUCUUCUUCAAAAGAACGCGGGAUACCUGUCUAACGUUGACCUGAGAAUACAAGCAGUUUUAAAAAUAUCAGCAUAAAGCUGGCGAGUUCAUAAGCGAUUUAUUUCUGAUAAAAGAACAAGUUUCCUUUAGUUUACUGAAAACGUUGUUAUCCAAGAAAAUAUCAUAUUUUCUUAUAAGAAAAGUUUAGUUAUCCAUUUGUUACACAACUCGGUUAAGAACAGUUAAGUCAUCGCAGGAAAAACCCUUAUUUUCCUUAAAAGUUCGUGGUUGGUUAUCGAUUCGGAAUACAGUGUACAAGUAUCUACCAUACUUAUAGUGUUUAAGUGAAAUAUCCUGAAAUCCUGGUUAUCCUUGAAAAGUACAUUAGUUUUAACACGUAUAUAAAACUAAUAAGUAGGUAGUUUUAAUACAUAAAACUAUAGAAGAAAGAAAGGAAUCCGUGAAUAAAGUUAGUUAAUUUAAUACGUAUUGUGAGUCGUAUAACCAUACUAAUUUGACCCAUGACCUCCUUGACGUUCUUCAGGCGUCAUUCGAUUACAAAAUUUGUCACCCCAGGCGUGCCCGCCUAACUGUAGCUAGCAGUUAAGGUGUGGGAUUUGAUGGGCUUUGAGCAUUCUAACACUUCCUAAGUGUACAUGCAACCCUAAUAACCUUGGAUCUAUGUUUGUCUAAUUAUCAUGCUAAGUUGAAUUCCAAGGCUAUAUUCCUAUCUAGCAUACAUGGGGAACAAUUUUAACUUGAAUAAUAGAUAGAAUAACUUACCUUGUUGUUGCUUGUGUUCCUUGAAACCUUGUGAGCCUAGCACCCCAAGUGUGAUGCCUCAAAUGCUUCACACAACACCAAAUGCUCUUGGAAAGACUCUUGAGAUAAUACACACUUCUUAAAAUCGGCCAAGCCCUCUAGUUUCUUAGUGUAGCCGAUUUUGGUGGAGAAUAUGAUUCUUAUAUAGUGUUGACACAUCUAGGGUUACACCAUGUAAACCCUAAUGUGUCAUGACUCUUCAUUUCCAUGACCCAUGGGUUUGUAACUCCCAUGGAGCAUCCAUGGAGCAUCCUAUGGGUAGAACCCAACUUGAUAAUCCAUGGAGCCUCUUAGCCCACUAUACAAGAUAUGGAUGAUUUACAUAAUCAACCCAUAUAUUUAAUUAGUUAUCUUUUGACCACUUAAUUAAUUCUAAAUUAAUUAUUGAUCAAACUAAUCAAAUAAUAUUAUUAAUAUAUUAGAACUUAUAAUAUAUUAAUAAUCUCCAAGUGUUAUUUCUCUCAUUUAGUCUAUCCAAUUGCAUGGUGCCAUGCAACCCAAAUGGACCAUGCCGGGUCGGGUCAAGUACAAACCAGAAAUAGUUAUGGACUUAGACACCUUAUCCAACAGUCUCCCACUUGGAUAAGUCUAAUAACUAUAACUCUAGUACUUCAGGAACCGACCGGCAAUCGUAGCUCUUUCAAGGUCUCUCGGAACUGAGAAGAUGAUGGUACGCCAUUUAAGAUAAGUGAUCAUAUAAUCCUCCGUUCUAGAUAUCAGCCGGACAAAUACAUGGAACAUUGUCUUGCUUAUUGUCCAGCAUUUGUUUCCCGAUUUCCGAUUUGUUUGACAUAGAACUUAAUUGAACACAUCAACUUAGUUCUGACCGGGCCCGGUACAUGGGUCAAAACAAAAUCAUCGAGGGGCCCAGAUAUCAGCUUCUAAUCCAAGAAGGAACAGAUAAACUUCGACUCAUAUGUUUGUUCUACCACUCAUUGAAUUACACACAAAAGUACGUUUUAUAACAUCGAGUUACCAAUGCGGUUUCGUACAGUCAAUGCAUAACCAACUUGUAAGUAACAAAUCAUAUCUCUAGGUUUGAAGACUUAUAUGAUAUUACCGUCUCACGAUCACUCGAGAUAGAAUUCCAUGAAGUGAUUCCAGUGAGCGUGGGUUGAGUCCAAUGCUCAGAACUUAUGAGCACUCAUGAUUGUUGUAGCCUUGUCCAAGACCUCUACAACCAAACAUGACAGUCUUGAUUCAUAUCUACUUCCAACAUAUGACCGACUGUGGAGGUUUGAAUAAUAUGUUAUACCAAACAAAAUUAUUCUGGAAGUCAAAACAUGCAAAAGAAAUAUAGUAAACGAUCGACAAGAGAUAGCAACACUUUACUCAUAAAUAAAACACCUUUUAUUCAUCAUCAAAUGUCAAUUACACUUUACAAAUUUCUGGGUUAUCUAACUACUAAAACUUAUAUCAUCCUUCAGCCCUAUGCUCCGAGCAUGCUGGAGAUGCUUAACCCUACUCAGUCCCUUCGUGAGGGGAUCUGCUGGGUUCUCAUCCGAUGAUACCCUCUUUGCCACGAGGAGUCCUUCUUCGAUCCGAUGUCU
rnacentral:lncRNA from 1 species